rnacentral:lncRNA from 1 species
AGAUAAAAGAGUAUUAGGAUCAUAACUAUAGCUUAGUUAACUCUUUAUUAAACUCACAGUCUUUCUCAACAUCCUAUAUAUAUUAUUGGAUAUUAAAAAGAUAGAAAGUCUUGAGCUUUAGUUAUUGCAAAUUUGAUAUAUAAUUUAAAUUUUAUAUAACAUAGUCAUAACCCGGGCGUAGCCCGGGAAACUCUCUAGUUUAAUUUUAAAAAACAAAUGAAAAUUGUUACAAAAUUGAAAUAUUGAUAUAUUUCUUAAUUAUUGAGAAAUUUAAAUAGUAUCUGCCGAUAUUGAUGCUCUAAUGCUGACGUAAUAUUCCAACACAGAAAUAUGAUGGAUAUUCCAUCACAAAUUUUACGAUUGAGUUAAGACGACACCUCUUCAUUUGGUGAGUUCAGCUGCGAUCGCACUUGGUCGUCCAUGUACAGCAGAAAAAUCAACAUGGCGUAUAUCCAUUUUCAAACGUCAUCACUAAUCCAUUUCAAAUAACGAAGAUUUUGCAACAGAUUUGAAAAUUGCGAUUUUAUGCGAUACAAUUGAAUUAUUCUGUAACAACAUUUAUUUUGCCGCAUCAUAUUGUCAUUUUGUAUCAUAAUAUAUUUUGUUUUUCAUAUAUGAUCAGUAUUCUUAUAGUAAAAAUUUGACGAGGUGUUGGAAGAAAUUCGCGGUUCUUUUAUAUAUAUUUUUGGUAACUCUUUUGUGUUUUUCUUUUAAACCGCCGUAAAAACGAUAAGAACAACUUUUCCAAACCUGUUGCGUUUCAAAUCAACCUUUUUUUUUGUAACAUGCGUUUCAAAUCAACCAAUUAAAUAAAUCAAGUGUCAUUUACACCAAAUACUCCUCCACUAAGUUAACCAACUUAAGAACGGAUGAACACACGAACAACACAAAUAAAAGCAUAAUUUAUCUAUAAGAAAGAAAACCAUAUUAUAGUAUUCUAUUGGAAGUCUUUCAUGAACUUAAACAGAGGAUUUAAACCGGAUCGUUCCGGUUAGGUGACAGAUAAUUAAAGACGUUGAGUUGGAGAACCAAACAAGGCCAUCGAGCUCGGCGUAUACAAUGGAAUAUCAGCUAGGGUUUUCCUUUGUUGAUGUCUCUCCCAACUUGUGUCAUCAGUACCGACACUGACCUCUUCCGUGGUUAACACAGACAACGAUGAUUCGUUGACGUCGUUAGGGUUCCGCCUUCUAAUCUCUUCGAGACCCGUGAGCCGCUGAACCAAGGCCAUAAAGUUUUCAGCACGCGUGUGGAUCACCUUUGGAGAGUGCGCGUAGAUGACUACGGGAGCUGCACGUCCAUGUCGCCGUGACUGUUUGACGACGUUGAACGAAGUCGUUUUCUUGAUGGAAUGGGAUUCUCCUGUGAGUUUAAGCGACGGAGGACGAGAGCCGCUGAGCUCAUGGCAUCUUGUAGGAAUCAUGAUGAGUACUUGAAUAGUAUCAAGAGAAUGGGUUAAACAGAGAUGGAGUAAAGAUCAGGGAAGACCUUUGAAGAUAAAGGGAGAUAUUGAUUUGUGUAUCCGGACAAGACAUUCAUUAAGCUGAUUAUAUAUAAGUUAUAACUAUAUAUGCGUGUAAGUAUAAUUAAUUUAAAAUCAUAUUAUAUUAGAGCCAACGAUUCUGACCGUUGACUUUAAUACCAUUGCGCCAGUGUUUUUAAAACCGGACCGGAAGCUGAACCGAAUUUUUUUUGGGUCAUAGUUGAAUAUGGUUCGACCGGGUCAAACCUAGUUUAAUACUUUGGUUUAAUAUUUUUUUAGUAUAUAAAUUUUAAAGUAAUGUUAUUAAAUAUGAUACAUAACUAAAAUAUAAAUAAGUUUUAAACAUAAGACAUUAUAAAUAUAACUUAGUUUUAUGUUUAAUGGAUGAUUUAUAGAUUUUUAAUAGUUUUAGUGGCUUUUAUUGGUUUAAUAAUUUUGAAAUUCAAUCCAUCUACAUGGUCGGUUCAUGGUCGAACCAAUUACUAGACCCAACCCGGCUAUAUAACCGGUUCAUGGUCGAACCCGGUCCAACCAUCGGGUCGGUCCGGUUUAAAAAACACUGCAUUGCGGUUAAGGUUAGGUAUAUUAUCUGUUAAAUUUGAUUCGAUCUGUUUAUUCAUUUCGAGUCUAUUUAGAAAAUCUGGAUAUCUAUAAAAAAUUUGAAUCAAAGUAAAUAGCAAAAUGUAAUGUAAGAAAAAACCUAAUCAAAAAUAUUAUUUUUUAGAAAGCUAGAUAUCCAAUACGAUCCGUAUAUUUAUAAAUAUGUAACGUAAACCAUUAUGUUUAUACAUAUUUGACGAAGUAAUUUUUUAUUUUAAACUAUUAAAAAAAAAUAUUUUGGAUUAUUGUGUAUCCAAUUAAUUUUUAUGUUGAAUCAAAUGUCAACAUAUGAGUUUUUUGUUAGGCUUGUCAAUACUGAAUUUUUUUUUGCUUUACAGUUUCGGUUAAAGAUGUUAAUUUGUUAGUAUGGUAUUAUUAUUUUAUUUUAUGAUUAAUAAUAUAAAAGAUUGUUUAUUAAAUUUUCCGAAUUGAAACGAAUCACAAAUAUAAAUAUUUGUUCGAGAACAGAUCAAAAGUAUUCUAAAAUUUUCGGAUAUUCGGGCCUAAUUAUAGUUUUGAAGUAGAACGGUCGUUCUCGUUGAAUAGCAACAUGACAUGGCUCAGGUAUAUAUCAUUGCUUAUUAACAGUUUAAUUUUCUAAGAAAUCAUAAGUAUUUCUCUACUAAAUCUCUUCUUCUUUAAAAUUUUAGUUGCAAACUCCUUCUGUAAUCUGUAUCUACCUUUUAAACGUUUGUUUUAAAAUUUUAUGGUUGUAAUGAUCAUUUGGUAGAUCGUAUCCAAAACGAAUUUGUAAUAUAAUUAAUUCGAUAGAGAGUUCUUUAUUUUUGUUCAUCUUUGAACUUUGAAUAUUACUGCUGUGACCAUGCAAAGUUGGCUGCAGAUGGUCCAUUUACGCAAUAAGAAAUUUUACAAAUGUUCAAAACUAUCGGCUUCUUUUAAUUAAACCCACUUACAGUCUGCUGUAACCACUAAUCUAUUUGUUGUUUGUGUGUUUAUAAUGAUUAUCAACGACAUUGUAUUGUUAUGUAUAUUAUAUGCAUAAACUAUAUUAUUUGCGAAGAAUAAACAAAGCAACAUAGAAUUUUACAUACAAAUACAUAUACAAAAUAGUCCACACACUAAUUAUAUAUGUAGUAAAUGAUAUUUAUAUAAUGUGUACAUGCGCCACAACAUUAGAAAACUUGUAAACUCUAAUUGUUUAUCAAAAAGUCAAAAGCCUUUUAAUACAAAAAAAAUCGAAUAGAAAACCAAAAUAGUUGUUUCGAAAUACAAAGCUGAAACAUAGCACAACUUCUAUAGUUAAUUCAGACAAGGAGAGGCUCAGAAGGCGUCUAUCUUCCUAACAAGGUAAACCCCAAACGUAUUUCCAGUUUAUAAUAAAUCAUUUUGUCUUUUUUUUUGUGUGGAAUAUAUCAAUAUUUCAGGUUUAAUAUCUCACAGAAUUAGAUCCAAACGGUGCUAAUAAACGCUUUUACACACCCACGCAAAAUAUGAAUUUAAGAACAGAAAAUGAAAUAGGCACAUUGAUUUAAUAGUUAUGAUUCAUCAACUGUUCAUCUCGUCAAAGAUUUGUCAUUUGUUCCUUCGUAGCAACCGUUAAUUGUUGUCACUGUUCUGUUUUUUUUUCUUUAGCUUUAGGUUGUUUCAUCUGUUGAAAUAGCUUAAACCUAAUCUAGGAAUCUAAGAGCAUUUUUACUCUCUUUUUUUUUUUUUGCAGUUUUUAGCUUCAAAUUUGUAUUUAUGCAGAUUGGAUACAAUUCUUUUUAAAUACUUUCAUUAACUAUUAAUGAUAUUUCCAUCUUUAGCAAAUAAAAAACUGUCAUUUUAUUUAUCUUUAUUAUGCAUGUCACAAAAUUAGUUUUGAAUAAUUAUGCUUUUUCAAAUAUAUUUUUCGUUGUAAAUUUAUAAAUACGUCACGGAUGUAAGUAUUAAAAAUAUGAUUUUAAAAGGUAAUUCUUUGCCGUCUUUGUUAUAUUCCAACAUAUACUCUAUUUGAAAAAUUCACAAUGUAAUAAUUUCAACUGCUGUACACAAUUAUUUUAGGUUGAAAAUUACAUAUGAGUUCUAUUCUUCUCCCUUUUAAUUGGUUUAGAAAGAAAAUGGGCGGCUGUUCAAAAAAAAGAAAGAGAAAGUGGGCUCAUGUUUAAAAUAAUAGGCGUAAGAACUAAGCCCAAACAUUACGUAGAAUAGAAGUCCAAAGUAAAGAUCAACAAGUCCUAGAGCACAACUAGAACAUGAUAAUAUUAUAAAAUGGUAAGUGAAAAGCUGAGGCAUCGGGAUUAUAAGAUCAUGCGCAAAGGCACCGCACGCGCACUUUCACAUACACAUUUGGAUGUAAGUGUGCUACUGUUUAGGGCCUGUCAUAUUUAACGGAGGCAAACUGUUGUGCUUCGGGAAAGAAAAUCAAAUUAAUUUGAUAAUGUAUGAAACUAUAUGGCCUUCUUUCUUACAUUUCUUGGAUCUCCCGCAUCUCUUACAGUAAUACUUCUAUGUUCCUUUGUUUUGUCUGUUCGUUGUCCCUCGCAAUAUAUUUAAUUGUUCGUAUCAACUAUUAAGUGGUCUCUAUUUACUUGUGAAUUAUAGUAUAGUACUUAGAAGAUUAACUUAUUUCUAAACAUUUAUUAGUUGCUUCAAGCGACAGCAUUCCCCCUCUCGUCAAUAGGAACAUAUGAUCACGCAUGCCAUUUUCUCGUUCACGAAUCACCGACAUACAAAUGUACUACUUCACCUGUCUUCGUGACAUAAUUCCAAUAUAUGUGCGGAUGUUUGGUUAAACAUUGGCAUACUCGCUUGGUGUUUUUAAAUUCACCAGUCUCUUUGUACAAAGUAAUCAUGUAAAUUAUAACUAAUUAUUAACAAUUUCAUAUCAUAAGAUAAAUGGAAAUAUACUGUAUCUAACAAGCUAUUGAGAAGUUAGAAAAACAUUUAGGGUACUUGCAUUAGUGAUCUUUGACCAUAACUUUUAACCAAAAAAAGAAAAAAAUCAACGAAGGAAAGUAUCUAUAUAUAAUAGCAAACCCAAAUUUUGUUUUCUAUGAUGUCAGCAUUUGUUUAUAGGAAAAUAAAAUAAAGAUCUAAUGGUUCAGAUUGGUUUGGUUUUUAAUCCAAGGAUUAUGUUCUUGCUAGGUGAUGUCAUCUUUUUUAAAAUAGAAUUUAAUCCAAUGGUUGAGAUUAGUACAUGUUUUAAUCCAAGAGUUGAGAUUAGACUUACCAUUUGUACUGACGAAGUCGAAGACGACGCUACCAAAGCGUUGUGUCGGUGGCGAAGCAUUGCGUAUGUUAAAGGAGUCGUGACCCAUGGUUCGCAUCUCUUCCUCUGUUUAUAUUUGAUAACCAGUUUGCUAUUCCAUUUUUUUUCAUUUGUUUCCUUAUUCCUGAUUCAAUUGUUUUUAUCCUUUUUAUCCUGAUUCCUGAUCAUUGCAGUUACCAUUAACAUUCUCGAACAUUGGAGCUUGCCAUUAACAUUCUCGAUCAUUGGAGCUUCGUUUAUGAAGGUAAAUCUUCUGAAACUUUCCAUCUUUCUUGUGUGUUUAAAGUUAAUCACCUUCCCGAAUGAAUUUUGUGUUAUUGAGAACCAUUAUUGUGUUUGAUUAAUUGAGAACGAUUACUUUAUUUGAUUAAUUGAGAACAAUUACUCUUUAAUCAUCGUAUCUGUCUAUUUUCGGAUUGAAUUUUAUUUUUCUGUUUUCGUUUCUCUGUCUCUAUUUGUAUCUGUCUUUCACAAUUUCAUUGGUUUGGACUUUAGAGUUUCUGUAUAUAUAUAUCUCUGCCUUUUUCUCUGGUUUAAUCAAACGGUUGAUUCCAACAUAUGAGGUGAAGGGGCCGUUUGUUUCUCCAUCUGGAUGAAGAUGAGAUUUUGUUUGUUUAGACACUAAAAGUGCAAUUCAUUCAGAUGGAUCAUCCGGAUGACUUUCGGAAAUUUAGGCUUAAUUUUAAAGUCCAUCCAGCUGAACCAAUUUGGAUCAUUUGAAUGGAGAUGGUUCAUUCAAAAUAGUAUAAUGUCUAUUAUUCCCUUAAUGUAAUUCACAAAUUACAAAUCUAAACAUAAUAUCAUUUUGUCACACACGAAAACUGACAAAACCACAAAAAUGCGUUUUUCCGCAAAAAUCUAAAACUAAUUUUCCACGCCAAAACCCCAAAAACGCAUUUUCCCACAAAAAUCGCAAAACAUGUUUUCAUGUCAAAAUCACAAAAACAUGUACAUGUUUUCACGCCGAAACCCCAAAACGCAAUUUUUCGCCAAAACACAAAAACAUGUUUUCCCGCCAAAAUCGCAAAAAUGUGUUUUCCCGCCAAAAUUGCAAAAUCUCAUUUUUUCCGCCAAAAUCAAAAACGCGUUUUCACGCCAAAACUGAUACGCCCUAAAUCGGGAAGGAUCACUUUAGCUCGGUGUUGGAUAUGAUCCGAGAAGACAAAUGACACUUCUGGAACUGAAAUGGAUUGAAAGGAUCGUUAAGAGAUGCGGAAUGGCUCUUGAUAUACCCACGAUCUAAGGCUAGCCACCUAAGAAAGAAUGAAUGUGUUGGCUAACCACCAAACAACACACAAAGAUGAAUUGGCUGACCACCAAAUCAACAAGCCGGUUCACACCAAUGAACUAGCUAAAGAACUCUCUCUCUCACUCAGAGAAGUAACAAAAAUAAACUCAAAAACAUGGACUGACCUUAUUCAUAAAUGAGUUUACAUAUUUAUACUAGAUGUGGUCCAAGAAAGACAUAAUUAUUUGUGGGAAUCACACAUCUAGGAAAUGAGAAAUUUGAUUAGAAAAUAAUAAAUGAAUCAAAGUUGCUGAGUUUGAGGUGGACUGGUCAAGGAGACCCUUCGACUACUGUCAAGGUUCAUUCUGGUCCAUGGUGGUAAGGAUCAAGACGUGGGCUUGAUGAUCCAUACGGCCCAAAUUCGCGAGAACUGAAGAUCACCGGUUUUGUAAAUUGCAUAACUCAGACGACGUGGGUUUGACGAUCCGUACGGCCCAAAUUCGCGAGAACUGAAGAUCACCGGUUUUGUAAAUUGCAUAACUCUUUCAUCUGAACUCCAUUUGAUCUGAUUCUUGUUCGAGGAGUUCCGUAAUUUAGUUGAGAACAUUCUUCAAGUGAUUUCAUGCGUAGAAGCCUCGACGUUUGGAAGAUAUGAGUCAAACAAUUAACAUAUAUCUUUACUGCUUCCAUGCUGGUUGGCUCCAACGGACUGAUCCACGAACCGGGACACAUCAUUCCCUUCCUCUUCAAAAAGAUUUAUCCUCAAAUCUGAAAUAUUUAAAGGAAAAGGAUUAUAAGCAAAAAAACCAUAAUCAACACAAUGCUCACCUUGAGUUCGGUCCAUUUUUUGAAUGGAAGAUGAUUCUUCUUGGUUGGCUUGAUGACCACAAAUUUGUUCUUCAUCUAGCCCCUCCAUUGGCUCAUAUGUGAAGUCAUCGAAAAUUGGCAAUGGGUCUUCGUUUUCAGGCUCGGUUUCAACGUUCUCAUUCUCUUAAGUCACCAACGGUCUCAUUCUCCAAAGUCACCAACAGUAUUUGCUUUUGACACUUGUUAGCAUAAUGAUCGAUCCUAUGGUAUUUGAAGCACCUGGUAGAAUGAGCUUUGCUUGUGGGUUUCACAGCUUUGCUUUUAUCAGAAGACAACACAUUAGUUUUCAAAUCAGAAUUUGAAAGAGAAGAAAAAUUACUUUGCUGUUUUGGUGAAGGAGAAGUGUUGGUGUUUCCCUUCUUUUUGAGUUGCCGGAUAGCAUGAAUUGCCUUAAGCAACAUUUUCUCCAAGCUGACAUAAGUCAGAAGGUCAUUCUGAUCAAACACAUCACAGGUGCACAAAAUCAAACCCAUUAGAAGCAAAUUGUUUCUUAUUUCCAAAAAUCAUUUGCUCUUUUUCUAACACGAUUUUAAAAGGAAAGUAAACGUCUUGUUGUGGUUUUGAUUUCUUGAGAAGUCCAAACAUCCUAGAAAUGUGAUCACCUAAAUAUCGUGAGCUAAACACUUUGAGAGUGUGAGGAUUUUUAUUUGCUAACUCUUUUGUGGAUGAUAGGCAGUCAAAAUUCAGCAAUCAAAACCCAAAACAAACUUUUGUGCCAGAAAGAAAAGAGAAAGAAAGAUGAAGAGAUUUUUGAUAUGGAUCCACCUUAACUGUCAUAAGGCUGGGUUUGUCUUCAGCCAGUAGGGUUUCUCUUCCACCACCCCCCCCCCUCCCUGGAUUUCUCUUCAGAAGUGAUUCAAGCUAAAACUUUUUUUUUUUAUCGAUUUUUUUUUUUUUAUAAUAGGCGAUCACAAGGGAGUAAAGGAACAGCCCGGAUCCAAGAAAUAAGAAAAGAAAAACGUGGAGAGAUGAGAAGAUGAAAGAUGAAAGAAAACAAACCAGCCAAAGUGGCUCUGAUACCACUUGAUACGCCCUAAAUCGGGAAGGAUCACUUUAGCUGGGUGUUGGAUAUGAUCCGAGAAGACAAAUGACACUUCUGGAACUGAAAUGGAUUGAAAGGAUCGUCAAGAGAUGCGGAAUGGCUCUUGAUAUACCCACGAUCUAAGGCUAACCACCUAAGAAAGAAUGAAUGUGUUGGCUAACCACCAAACAACACACAAAGAUGAAUUGGCUGACCACCAAAUCAACAAGCCGGUUCACACCAAUGAACUAGCUAAAGAACUCUCUAUCUCUCUCACUCAGAGAAGUAACAAAAAUAAACUCAAAAACAUAGACUGAUCUUAUUCAUAAAUGAGUUUACAUAUUUAUACUAGAUAUGGUCAAAGAAAGACAUAAUUAAUUGUGGGAAUCACACAUAUAGGAAUGAAAAUUUUGACUAGAAAUUAAUAAAUGAGUCAAAGUUGCUGAGUUUGAGGUGGACUGGUCAAGGAGACCCUUCGACUACUGUCCAGGUUCAUUCUGGUCGUUCUGGUCCAUGGUGGUAAGGAUCAAGACGUGGGUUUGACGAUCCGUACGGCCCAAAUUCGCGAGAACUGAAGAUCACCGGUUUUGUAAAUUGCAUAACUCUUUCAUCUGAACUCCAUUUGAUCUGAUUCUUGUUCGAGGAGUUCUGUAAUUGAGUUGAGAACAUUCUCCAAGUGCUUUCAUGCGUAAAAGCCUCGACGUUUGGAAGAUAUGAGUCAAACAAUGAACAUAUAUCUUUACUGCUUCCAUGCUGGUUGGCUCCAAUGGACUGAUCCACGAACCAGGACACAUCAAAAACCCCAAAAACGUGUUUUCCCGUAAAAACGCGUUUUUCCGCCAAAAUUGCAAAAUCCCGUCCGCCAAAAUUGCAAAAUCUCGUUUUUCCGCCAAAAUCGAAAAUUUUCAUUUUCCCGGCAAAACAAAAAAAAACAUAUUUUCCCGCCAAAACCGAAAAUUUCAUUUUCCCGCCAAAACGCUUUUUCCACCAAAACCCCAAAAAACGCGUGUUCCCGCCAAAAUCGAAAAAUCUUGUUUUCCCGUCAAAAUCGAAAAAUCUCAUUUUCCCGCUAAAACCGAAAAAUCUCGUUUUCCCGCAAAAAUCGCAAAAACGUAUUUUUCCGCCAAAACCGCAAAAACGCGCUUUUCCCGCCAAAAAAAAAAAUCCGCCAAAACCGAAAAAUGCGUUUUCCCGCUAAAACAAAACAAAUCUUGUUUUUCCGCCAAAACAAAAAAAAACUCGUUAAUUUUGAAAUAAUUGUAAUGUAAAUAUAUUAGACUAAAUAAUUAAAUGUAAUAUAGUUAAAAUUAAUAUCAAAUAUAUUAUUAAAUCAACACAAGGGUAUUUUGGUAAUUUGUUUACUAAACUCAUUUGGAUGGAAAUGAAAAUAAAAAAACAAACAUAACAUCUAUUUAGAUGAUUCAUCUAGAUGAAAUAUCUAGAUGGACAAACAAACAGUCACAAAAGUCUGAAUGGAUCAUCUGAAUAGAUCAUACAAAUGAAUCAUCUGGAUGGAGAUGACAAAUGAUGAAACAAACAACCCCGAAGUUGAACGGUUAAACAAGUCACCCAUGCGAUAGGGGUUUCUCUUUGUCACCCUUUCACUAUUUUGACGAUGCUAUUACGUGCGGUGACUGUGGUCAUGUCCAUCAGCGAGAUUCCAACUUCAAGAUUGAGGCUGAUAGUGUCUGUUUCAUCUGGUCUGUACCGAGGCUGGUUGUCAUGAUUGCUGCUAGACUUCGAAGUGGGGACAUCGUGAUUGUGAUUGCCUUCGUAUGUUGUUAUUAUAGCUUUUGGAUCAUGUGAUGUUUCUCCACGUGUUUUCUCACUGGGCAUCCACUUGUACGUAGUAGCUCCUACAAAAAGCCAAAGGAACAUUACGAAGCAUAAUAUUUUCCAUAUCCAAACCCAGUUCCAAAGGGAAUCACGAUUUUAUGCAAAAACCAAACAACUAGCCUUUGAAGACAAAGACUAAACUGUUCUAGCUAUCAUCUUGAACUACAAGUUUUUCUUGUGUAAGUUCACUUGAGAAGAAAGUGGUUUGUGGUUAUACGAAAUUUGGAUUUGGGUAUCCCCUUGGUAAUAUGUGGCGUAAGUAUGGGCAGAAAGUCGUAAGCUUUUUUGAUCAUAGGCUCAGAGUUUCAAAAACAACCCUAGGCUCCCGAAUAGGUUUCACAACUGGAGUUAUUUCCGUGGUCAAGUGAUAUCUUGCAUAUUUACAUUGUCUUAUCCAUUUAUUCAUGUGCAUUUUCAUCAUAUAGAUUAGGGUUUAUCCAUGUCUAGGUUGCAUUUUGCAUACAUAUGUCUCUAUUAGGUAUUGGAGUAUCACAUAGAGUUCCUGGAGACAUUUGGGCGCAUUUGGAGCUCAAAAGAAGUGUUUAAAGCGAUCAACGGACGAGCAGCGUACCAGAGCGACCUCACCGGAGCGACGCCGUGAAGUCGCUGUGACACACAUCCCGGAGCGACCUGGCCAGAGCGACGCUCCGAGGUCGCUCGCAUCUCCAUGGCGAGACGACCCGGGAGCGACGUCUUCAGAGCGACACAGCCAGGUCGCUCGCGAGGAGACGACCCGGGAGCGACGUCUUUGGAGCGACACAGCCAGGUCGCUCGCGAAGAAACGACCCGGGAGCGACCUCUUGCAGCGACGUGCCGAGGUCGCUCCGCGUCUAUUUGUUUGGCCGAACUCAUGUUUUCUCAAGGGCCUUUUGGUCAUUUCAUUAUGCACGUUUUUUACUUUCUAAACCUAUGUUUUAUAUCUUUUGUAAGCCAUCAGUGGCCAGAGGAAUCUCUUUUUCUAGAGAACAACUAAAAAAACUUCUUUUGAUUCAGAUUUCAUUUGCUUUCAUCUUGUGUUCUUGUUGAUUUCUUAUCUAUUUCUCUACAUGAUUAAUCUGAAAUCCAAUAUGGGUUUAAGAGGAAUCAUGGAGAUUAGUGAGUAAUCACCUUUUGAAUUCAUGGGCUGGGGAGAUCAAGGGUGAUUAGGUUGGUUCUAGGAUGUUUUAGUGUAGAUCAUUCUUGUUCCUUGCUAGUAGAGUAUUCAUAAUGCAUCUUCUGAGUUGGCAUCUCAAAAGUUGAUCUUUAGGCAUUUUCCACCCACAAGGUGUUUGAUGAAAUGUCUGAGACAACUCUUCUAAGCUUUUAACAUACUUUACCAAAGACAUUUGUUGUUAAAGGUGUUAAGAUAGCCAAUAGACUUGUUAGUAAUGAUUGCUUUCAUAUUAUUCAACCAAAGACAUUUGAUGUUUGAGAUAUGUUAGUAAAUGAACAUUCAUCUAUACAUAGAGUUUGUUUAGGAUUGUGUCUAAGCUUAAGGUUGAUAGUUUGAUUGAUCGUUUGCCAUCCUUAGUUCGAAACUUGAUCACCCAAGGUCUAAUCCUUAUGUCCAUGAGUUCUCUUUUCCCUUAGUCAAGAAAGUAUCAUUCUGUUAUUGCUUUCUAGUAUUAGUAGUAGUUUAAAACCCAUCUAAAUCAUUGGUUGCACUUAGAUUAAGUGAGUACUUGCAUUCUCGGUGCUUUGAUAUCCCUCAGAACUGGUUCGACAAUCACUUAUACUACAACAUUUGUCUUAGGAGCCUUGAAAACUCCUAACACCAAAUUGGCGCUGUUGCCAAAUUCUGAGUAGAUUUAAACAUUGAGAUUUAGUCACUUGCUUGAGACUAAGUCAUUUUAAUUUUGUUUUGUUACUGAUUCUUCUUCACCACCUACCUUUCACUUUCAGGUGUAUGAACUUGAGGAGCAGGGGUCCAUCAAACCUAGUUCCAAUAGUAGCAGACAUCAGAGCUUUCGAGAGGGAGUGUGCUAGAGCUAGAAGAGAAGAAGAACAACAAGCCCACUUGCAGAGAUUCGAUAUUGAUAUGGAAGAUCAACCGCAAGGGACAGAACACCAACCGCGGGCAGCUCGACCCAUUGGUACUUAUGACCGGCCCAACAUUCAUGGUCAUAGACUGGGAAUCCGAGCACCGGCUGUGGCAGACAACAACUUUGAAGUCAAGUCAGGACUCCUCAACGUGAUCGAGAACAACAAGUAUCAUGGCUUGGCUCUAGAGGACCCAUUUGAUCACUUGGACAAGUUCGACAGCUACUGUGGGUUGUCAAAAACCAAUGGUGUGUCCGAAGAUUCCUUAAAGCUCAAGCUAUUCUCUUUCUCUUUGGAGGAUAAGGCACGUCAGUGGGAGAAGUUUCUACCCAGCGACUCUAUCACCACUUGGGAUGAUUGCAAGAGAGCAUUCUUGGAGAAGUUCUUCUCUACUUCAAGAACUGCUAAGCUGAGAAAUGAGAUUUCCAGCUUUCAACAGAAGAACUUGGAAGGCUUCAGUGAAGCCUGGGAGAGAUUCAAGGGCUACCAAGCUCAAUGCCCACACCAUGGUUUCUCUAAGGAGAGCUUGCUGAGCACAUUCUACCGUGGUGCUCUUCCUAAGUACAGGGCCAGACUGGAUACAGCUAGCAAUGGGUUCUUCUUGGGGAGAACUGAGGAAGAUGCAGAGGAGCUGGUUGACAACAUGGUAAAGAGUGAUGUAGUCUACAGUGGAGACCACGACAGAGGCAGUCGAACAGAUGAUAAGCAGACGAGGAAGGAGUUGAAAGCUCUACAGGAUAAGAUAGACAUCCUCCUUGCUGAUAAAGCCACCCAAGAGCAGCUGCACUUUGUUGGUAACCCAAGCCAAGAGACACCACCUGUUGUCCAUGAGGUUGAGGGUUUGGAAGGUCAGGAAGAGCUGUGUUUCAUCAACAACAAUGGUAGCUGGUACAAAAAAGAGCCCAACUUUCAGUACAACAACUACCAACAGAAAUCCUAUCCCAACAACCAACAGAGUGGUUAUCCGCCUAGAAACAACCAGCAAGGCAGCUAUCAGCCUCAGCAAAACCCCUCGUCUGGUUCCUCUGCUCCCCAAGAGAGCAGCACUGAUACUUUAUUGAAACAAAUCUUGGAGUCUCAGACUAGAAGUGAGAAGCAUGUUGGUUAUGAGUUCAAGAACCUUCAUUCCAAGAUUGAUGGGAGCUACAAUGAGCUCAACAACAAGUUCUCACAUCUUGCUUCUACAGUCAAGAAUUUAGAGAAUCAGUUUGCUUCCAUGAACACUCACCAGACUCGCCAGCAAGGAUCUCUACCUGGAAAAUCUGACCAAAACCCCAAGGAGGCCAAAGCUAUCACCCUUAGGAGUGGUAAGCAGUUACCUCCUACAACCCUCACCAGGGAUGCUGAGAAACUAGGUGAGGAGGUGGCCAUCAACUUAGAUGAUGAAGUGGUGAUUGUUGAUGAGAAAAUCAAUGAUGAAAUCUUGGAGAAGAUUGUGGAAGCCAAAGGUAAAGGAAAGGUUGGGGAAGAGAAUAAAACAGUGAAAGAUGGUGAAGUUCUUGCUCCAGCAAGUGAGAAUUCUUUUGUUCCUCCUCCGUAUGAACCCAAACUACCAUUCCCUGGUAGAUUCAAGAGGCAGCUGCUAGAGAAGUAUAAGGCUAUGUUUGAGAAGCAAAUGAGUGAAGCUCAGGUUGCAAUGCCCAUCAUCGAUGCUUUCAUGUUGAUUCCUCAAUACAACAAGUUCCUGAAAGAUGUUGUAGCUGCAAAGAAGAAGGAAAUGGAAAGCAUGAUGAUUCUUACCCAUGAGUGCAGUGCCAUCAUCCAGAGGCUUGAUGUUCCAGAGAAGUUAGAGGAUCCAGGAUGCUUCACACUACCUUGUGCUCUUGGACCUAUGGUAUUUGAGAAAUGUCUCUGCGAUUUGGGAGCUAGUGUCAGCGUGAUGCCUUUGUCUGUUGCAAAGAAGCUUGGAUUCACUCAGUACAAGAAGUGUAGACUCUCUCUGGUGUUAGCUGAUCGUUCAGUGAAGUACCCUGUGGGCAUCUUAGAGGACCUACCUGUGAAGAUUGGAAGGUAUGAGAUACCUACAGAUUUUGUGGUGCUUGAGAUGGGUGAGGAGGCUCAAGACCCAUUGAUUCUUGGAAGGCCAUUCUUAGCUACAGCAGGAGCAAUUGUUAAGGUGAAAGAGGGCACGAUUGAUCUCCAUUUGGGUAAAGGGCAUGUUCUCCACUUUGACAUCAAGGAGAAAAUGAAGAAACCAACUGUGUUCGGGCAAGCCUUCUACAUUGAAGAGAUGGGCACUCUUGCUGAUGAGCACCUUGAAGAGUUACCACCUGAGGACGACGAGGAGGGAGCAUCUCCCUCUACUCAUUCCCCAUAGAAGGUAACCCACUACUUUUCCUUGUAUAUACCAUUUCGUUUUUGCAUAUUAGUUUUCUCUUUUUGGGUAUCUCUCUCUCUCAUUGACAACACAGAGACUGUGUCAUUUAAGUUUGGGGAAGGUACCAAGUAUUUGAUCACGUUUGCUUUGAUGAUUUUGAGUCUCAUGCCUUGCAUUAUACAUAUAUAUUUAGAUUAAAAAAAAAUCAUUUAGUUUGCAUCAUUUGCAUUUCUAGGAGAGUCUAGAGCAUAUAGGUUGCAUUUACUUGCAUUGGGAGCAAUGAUUUGAAAUGUCUUGUAAAGAACAUUACUUUGCACCUGAGUAGCUUAUGCACCUCUCAAAAACACUUUUAUGCUUCGAGCCUUGAAGACUCUUCCUGAAACUUGUUGAUUGCUGAAACUCAGUCUUUGAAGCCAACUACAACCUUAUUUGAACUGAACAAACUUAAUGCAUCUUGCUCAUGGUCCGUUGUGUACUGAAUCAUGGAUAUACACACUUGAGUUGUCACAUCCUUUAUGCCAAUCUUUUUUUGACAACCUCUAGUGGUACACCAUUCCCAAAAUCCCUUCCUCCUUUUAAGCUUUCAUUAUUUGAUGAGUGAAGUCUUUUUCGGAAAGCCUUACAUGUGCAUAAUGUUGAGAGUAUCGGGAACGACAAUGUUUGGUCUUCAUUCUUGCUAGAUUAGGCACUCUAUUGUCUAGCUAUAGGUGGGGGUGAGUGUGGUGACUAUGAUUUGGAAGCAUGAAAAGUUCGAAGAAAAAGAAUAGACUCUUUGUGUUUAAAUGGAUAAUCUUAUUGGAACUAAUAGAUAAACGUCUAGCUCGAUUUGUGAAAAGUCUUGGCCCUCAAACAAAAACAAAAAAAAAAAAAAAAAAAAAAAAAAAAAAAAAAAAGGGGUUAGCAAAGUUGUUUAGAGCUAAGAUUUGUUUGAAGUUAAGAAAAUCCUUUAUAGAUUUCAAAGAAAAAGAGUUUUAUGUGCAAAGUGUUCUUGGGAUCUUUUGGUGAGAGAUGGGAGUUGGGUUUGACAUUAUGAAGUGAUUGUGUAACUUGUAUGUUUGGGAAAAAGGUAGAACAAUGGAGAUUGAGCAUUGUAUGCAUGAGUUGUUGGUCCCUUUCUUAGAUAUAUUAUGUGCAAUGUCAAGGCUACUUGUUUUGAGAGUAAACCACUUUAAAAGAUCAUGGAUUUUGAACCUCUUAACCCACUUGAAUAAAAGUCUUCCCUUACUCAACCAAAUGAUUUGGACCAAUUGACCAUUUGCAAGAAUUCACUUGAUGCUAUGCUUAAUGAACUUGAGAGUUGGCUGAUUUGCAUGUGUGAAUGCAUGAUGAUGAGUGUAGGGAUGAAAAGAGUUGAGAUAGGCCUAGAGAAGCUAGAGUAUAAUAAGAGAGGGUGCACUAAUGCUGAAUUUAGAUGUUGAUUUGAAUGCUUUGUGUGUUUCUUUUGGCUAUGAGCUCCCACCUUCAAACCUCUCUCCCUAUGAGUUCUAGAUAGUUCACUUGAGGACAAGUAAAAGAAUAAGUUUGGGGGAGUUGAUAUCUUGCAUAUUUACAUUGUUUUAUCCAUUUAUUCAUGUGCAUUUUCAUCAUAUAGAUUAGGGUUUAGCCAUGUCUAGGUUGCAUUUUGCAUACAUAUGUCUCUAUUAGGUAUUGGAGUACCACAUAGAGUUCCUGGAGACAUUUGAGCACAUUUGGAGCUCAAAAGAAGUGUAUAAAGCGAUCAACGGACGAGCAGCGCACCAGAGCGACCUCACCGGAGCGACGCCGUGAAGUCAAUGUGACACACAUCCCGGAGCGACCUGGCCAGAGCGACGCUCCAAGGUCGCUCGCGUCUCCAUGGCGAGACGACCCAGGAGCGACGUCUUCAGAGCGACACAGCCAGGUCGCUCGCGAGGAGACGACCCGGGAGCGACGUCUUCGGAGCGACACAGCCAGGUCGCUCGCGAAGAAACGACCCGGGAGCGACCUCUCGCAGCGACGUGCCGAGGUCGCUCCGCGUCUAUUUGUUUGGCCGAACUCAUGUUUUCUCAAGGGCCUUUUGGUCAUUUCAUUAUGCACGUUUUUUACUUUCUAAACCUAUGUUUUAUAUCUUUUGUAAGCUAUCAGUGGCCAGAGGAAUCUCUUUUUCUUGAGAACAACUAAAAAAACUUCUUUUGAUUCAUAUUUCAUUUGCUUUCAUCUUGUGUUCUUGUUGAUUUCUUAUCUAUUUCUCUACAUGAUUAAUCUGAAAUCUAAUAUGGGUUUAAGAGGAAUCAUGGAGAUUAGUGAGUAAUCACCUUUUGAAUUCAUGGGUUAGGGAGAUCAAUGGUGAUUAGGUUAGUUCUAGGAUGUUUUAGUGUAGAUCAUUCUUGUUCCUUGCUAGUAGAGUAUUCAUAAUGCAUCUUCUGAGUUGGCCUCUCAAAAGUUGAUCUUUAGGCAUUUCCCGCCCACAAGGUAUUUGAUGAAAUGCCUGAGACAACUCUUCUAAGCUUUUAAUAUACUUUACCAAAGACAUUUGUUGUUAAAGGUGUUAAGAUAGUCAAUAGACUUGUUAGUAAUGAUUGCUUUCAUAUUAUUCAACCAAAGACAUUUGAUGUUUGAGAUAUGUUAGUAAAUGAACAUUCAUCUAGACAUAGAGUUUGUUUAGGAUUGUGUCUAAGCUUAAGGUUGAUAGUUUGAUUGAUCGUUUGACAUCUUUAGUUCGAAACUUGAUCACCCAAGGUCUAAUUCCUAUGCCCAUGAGUUCUCUUUUCCCUUAGUCAAGAAAGUAUCAUUCUGUUAUUGCUUUCUAGUAUUAGUAGUAGUUUAAAACCCAUCUAAAUCAUUGGUUGCACUUAGAUUAAGUGAGUACUUGCAUUCUCGGUGCUUUGAUAUCUCUCGGUGCUUUGAUAUCUCUCGGUGCUUUGAUAUCUCUCGGUGCUUUGAUAUCUCUCGGUGCUUUGAUAUCUCUCGGUGCUUUGAUAUCUCUCGGUGCUUUGAUAUCUCUCGGUGCUUUGAUAUCUCUCGGUGCUUUGAUAUCUCUCGGUGCUUUGAUAUAUUAAGUGAGUACUUGCAUUCUCGGUGCUUUGAUAUCUCUCGGUGCUUUGAUAUCUCUCGGUGCUUUGAUAUCCCUCAGAACUGGUUCGACAAUCACUUAUACUACAACAUUUGUCUUAUGAGCAUUGAAAACUCCUAACAUCAUCAAGUCCAACCUCCUGCAUCAAGUUAGAAGAAAGUUUUGAUCAUGUCAAAUCACUGUUUCAAAGCAAGCAUCAUCGUCAUGGUCAUCUUUAUUCUUAUUUGACACUGCAACUUGACCACCACCGUCAGUUGUACGAGGUCGUUAAGGUUUACCAGUUUGUUCAAUGGCCUGUGACAAAUUGUAGACGAUCUCUUCUCUGUAUGCAGGAGAAAGAGUAGAAUAAACAGAUGUAAUUACAGGUUUUGUCAAGGAGAGUUCAUGCAAUCAUAUCUCAAGUUUUAGUUAAAGUUACCUGUAGGAUGCUUACCUAAACUUUCUUCUUGUGUAGGCAUACCAAGGCCAACAGGGAAUGGAGGUUAAGCAUACAUCGGAGGCUAUUUAUGUGUACGUUUCGAAUGUGAAGAGCAAGGUGAUAUCUUCUGGCUGAUAGGUGGCGAGUUUCAAGAUGGUAAGGAUCUCAACAACAAGUAUGACGACUGCGUCUUCAACUGAAGCUGCCAUGAUGCCUUAAAUGCCGAUUGGAUAAUUAAGCUUUGUUCUCCAUGCCAAAAACUCGACGAUAAGAAGAAGGGUUUGGACAUCUCCUUGCCCAACAUAUUCGAAGUAGAAUAAUGCAGAAACAUCAUCACAUAUAAAUACUAAAACUUUAUUUGUUUAUCUUAUAUCUUAAUUUAGAAAAAGAAUGAGACUUGGAUUGUUUUAUAUUACAAAUAGAUUUAGUGUAAUCCAAAGCUUGAUAUAUGGUCAAAAUAAUUUUUAAAAGAAUUGAAAUAAUGGGUGAUUCAAGAAUUAUCCAAAUUCACAUGAUUACAAUCAUGAACAAAUCGUGUGAGGUUAUAUUUUCAAUAUAUAGUAGUUUUUUCGGUGGGAGCAUUAUGUUGUUAUAAAAAUUUAUAUAUAAACCUUUUAUUUUUCUUUUUCAAAUACACAAUCAAAAACUAAUGGUAAAAGAAAUAUAAUAUGAUGAUAAAAAUUCAUCUUCUACAAUAUAAUAUAGAAACAUUUCAACAAUGGAUGAUAUAGUGUGAUAAUACGAGUGUGGAAAUUUGCUUUUAAAUAGUGUUGUAAUAUUUUUUUAAAUGUAUCUUUAUAAAUAGUUUACUCUACUUCGGUUUGAAUUUCUAAAAUACUUUAUCUAAUAAUUAUGAAGUUUGAAACUUAAUAAGGUAAAUAUUUCUAAACUUUUAUAUACAUUAUAAUUUAAUAUCUGACUAAAUGUGGUAAUGUUAAAUGAUAAAUAAAGCAACUUAAAUUUUAGUUAUUACAUAAAAUAAAAAAACAUAUAUCUAAAUUGAUUGAAACCAAAAAUACAUUUAGAAUUGACAAAUUGUAAGUUGUACUUCUACUUUUUUUUGUCAUCUUUAAGUUGUAGUUCUAUCAGUGUCAAUACACGAAAGUGGUUCUUAAGGAGAUCUAAUUUAAUGGUUUAGAUUAAUAUAAUAAAUGUAUUUAUGUAAGGUUCAUAUUAAAAAAAUAUUAAAAUAAGAAAAAAACAUCCUUUUAUUGAAAUAAUUUUAUCUCUUACAACGGUUACUUUAUUCUUUUGAUUAUUCUAUAAUAUAUAUAUCUUAAAAAUAUAUAUUUAGAGAAAUGUAUGCAACAUAUAUUUGAUGCUCUAUUUAUGUUGAAUAAUAUUUUAUAAACCUAUUAUUUUUUGUCUAAUAAUAUUAAUUUAAUUUUCUUUGUAUUCUAAAGUUACAAUAUGGAAAAAACUUACGUUUAAAUUUUCUUAUUUCAUCAUUCUCUACAGGAACUUUUUAACUAGAUGUUUUAGAUUAAUUUAUUUCAGAUAUGAAUUAUUUAUGUAGAGUUGAGAUUAAAAAUUUAAGGUUUUCAUUCGUCUAAAUAGUUAUAUCUCUUAAAAUUGAUCAUUUCAUUAUCUUAGUUUUUCAACAGUUACUUCUAAAUUUUUCAUUUUCCUUGACAAUUAAAUCUUGAUAAACCUGACAAUUUGUAUUUAAACUGUAAGGAAUUUGUAAGUUGACACUUAAUUUCUGUAACAUUAUAUAUCUGCACCAAUCUUCUGCUAUUUAGACUUCGAUCAAUCUUAUAUUUUUUUAGAAGUAAAAAUAUAUGUUUUAAUAAAUAAUUACAUAUCUAAAAAGCCUUUUCUGGUAAUCUUAAGGUCAACAUUGAUUCUUUUAUUUGUAAUUGUAAAUGGAUUUGGUUACAAAAUUCUAUUUUGUUCUAAUUUUUUUGGUGGAUCAUUUGAACACCUCUUCAAAUUUUUCUGUUCUUCUUUUGAGUUGCUAACACCCAAUAUUUUAUCUUUGUUUUCAUAUCAGUAUUUUGAAAUAGAAUAUAAUAUAUUUAGAAUAAUUCCAAUUUACUUUUAUACGUGUAGUAUAUUUAAUAAACUUGUGUAUAAUAAACAAUAUAUAGUUAAAAAAUAAUAAAACACAAAUAAAUAAUUUUUAUAAAGUAUAGAUAAAUAUUAAAUAUGUUUGUUGUGUUUACAUUUUUAGUAUUAAACAAUUUAAAUUUUCAUUAAAGAAUUCAAUAGCCAUGCGCGAAUGCACGGGUUUGUUUCCCAGUAUAGAUAAAAGCACAAUCGUUUCUGUAGGAAGAAUCUUGCACAUAACUCUUGCAUUAUUAUAGAUUGGGUAUCUAGGUUUAGUAUAACUCUUCUACAUGUAUAUAAACUCUUUUCAAGGGAAUAAGAACACACAGCACUCUUUACCUCUUAAUCAUAUAAAAUGCACGUUUAUUUCAAGAUCUUAUAAGAAAAAUGUAGCUAAAAAGUCGCAUCAGCGACUGUGAGGGAGGUGACAAGCAGAACCGUGCUUAUAGCCUUUUGAAAAAGGCAUUUGCCUAGGGUCCCCAAGUUUUGUAGAAAUUUUAGAGCCCCUAAUUACAAAAUAAUUAUUUUUACAAGGCACUUAACAUAUUCUCUUGGUUAGAUUUUUAUUCUUAUUAGAUUCUGAAUUCUGAAUUCUGACUUAUGUUUAAAAUAACUAGGUUUAUGAUUAAUUUUGUUAUAUUUAUAAAUAAAACUAUAAAGAUUCUACUUCUAAAAAACAGUAAAUAUUUGAUCCAUAUUUUGUCUUCCUUUUAUAUGCUAUGAGUUAGAUUUAUUUUAUAUAUGUAUGAGAAUUUGGUAAAAACAAAAAAAUUGAAUAUAUAGUUUACUAUAUUUAAUUUAAAUGAUAAGAUUUGUUUUUUUAACAGGCACCAACAUUUCAAUCCAAAAUCCAUAUCUUUUCUUUUAUACUAGAAAUUCAUACUUUUUGAUCAUGAUUUAAAUUUUUUCGUUUAUAAAAGUUUGGUGAAAUUUUUUUUAUGUAAUAAUUUAAAAUUUUGUAGUGUCAUAUUAUAUGUAUAUUCUAAUUCAAAACUUUGAAGCUGAAUAAAUUUUUUUGUUUAUAAAUAUCAUGUAAAAUGUAUUUUUUUUUUAAUCCGCCUUAGGCCUCCAAAAACCUUCGCACGCCACUGGUGACAAGUAAUCUUUUGCAGUUGUAGGAGUAGAGAUAGCCCCUAUCAGUCAAACAUUAUACAGCAACAGUCUACAAAACUAACAAAAAAGGCAUGCACGUUGGCACGUUGCUGCAUCAAACAUAAGAAAUCUUUGAUAAGUCGUGUAAACUAGUAUAUAUAUAUAUAUAUAUAUAUAAUAUAUAUGAUUAACAUGACAGAUUGAUAUUUGUGGUAAAUUGUCAUAAAUGAGCAAUAAAAUAAUAAAAUGCAAUGCAACAUGAUCUUUGAAAGUAAAACAUUCAAAGGGCAAGAGAAUUGAGGUGUGAUUUGAGUAAAAACUUGAGCAGGAUAAAGUAUUCUGAAUAUGCAUGUAUAUCACGUAGUAGAGAUUUUAAGUUUAAGGUUUCACAUUAACCAAUUGAUUUUAUACUUAACAGUGCUCCAAAAGCGUUCUAGACGUCUGAACGCCAAAGCAGAAACCUGGUAAAGUCAUGACAGCUGUUUUCUAAACCUUCUAGACAAUUACAAUAUUGUAACAAUAAUAAUAUAUAAUUUAUUAUUCAUAAUUAUAAUAAUUGAUAUAUCAUAAUGUAGAAUUUAUGAAACUAAAUAAAUUUUUAUCAUUUGUGAUUAAUAAUAUUUAAUAUAAAAUAUCUUUUUGUAUAUAUUAAGUACCAUAGUUUUUAAAAUUUAUAGACAUGUAAACCGUUUAACUAGUAAUCUAGUUGUCUUCUUUUUGUUCAAACAAGAUUGCAUUAACCUUAAAGGUUUUAUGCUCCACGAGUAGAGCUUGUUACAAAGAGUGGAGAGCUGAUUUCCUCAGGGCGUCAGCCUCGACGACAUUGAAGUUCCGAGAAAUAAAACUAAAGGAGACAACAUCAAAGAGAGGAAUAAAGUGAUAUAUCAAACACGAUUAUUUACUGAAUAUGGUUUUGCGUCUUGUGUUUUUUUUUGUUCUAUUUUUUCUUGUUCAACUUCUUAAAAAGUUUUAACAUAGUACUUUAGUUUUAUUUCACGAUUUGAACUUUUAUUUGUUUUAGGUCAAGCAAAAAAUAAGAAAUUUUAUAUAAUAUAUGUAUGCGCAUUCUGUUUUCAAAAAUAUUUAUUUCAUGCACUUUCUAUUUAUAUAAUGAUUUAAAAUAUUUAGAUUCAAAAUAUAUGGAUAUAUGUUAAAUUUAUUUGUUUAAUAAUAUUGAUAUUUUAGUCUCUAUUAAAGAAGUCAAACAAAUUUCCUUUUUAUUCGUGUUUUUGUAUAUCACGAAUCAAUUUCGAUCAUUUUACAAAUAAAUAUUCGGCAUAACAACUAAGAGGAAACAUUACUUAGACUAUCUCCAACUCACCUCUAUUUUCAUCUCUAUAUUUUCCUCUAAAAUAGAGAAUCUCUAUUAUAGAAGUAAAUUUGCUCCAAUGUAUGCCUCUAUAAUAGAGUUCCUCUAUUUAUAGAAGAAAAUAUAGACCAUCUCCAACCCACCUCUAUUUUCAUCUCUAUAUUUUCUUCUAAAAUAGAGAAUCUUUAUUAUAGAGGUGGAUUUGCUCCAAUGUAUGCCUCUAUAAUAGAGUUCCUCUAUUUAUAGAGAAAAAUAUAGAGAUGUGAUAUUUUCACCUUUAAAUAUAGAGGUAAAAAGUAACAUUUCUCUAUAUUUCUCUCUAAAAUAGAGGAACGCUAUUAUAGAGUCAUACAUUAGAGCAAAUCCACCUCUAUAAUAGAUAUUUCUACUUUAUAGAAAAAUAUAGAGACAUACAUUAGAGAUGCUCUCAUCUUUAGUACUCUUUUAAACUAUCAGAUUUCAUAUAUUACGAUGAUCUAUGUGUGUUCCUGUAUGUGUAAUUAAUUCUGUAAAUGUGUAUUUCUUUUGCAUAUAAAAGCAGAUGCCGUCCAAAUCAUGAAAAAUGUGAGAAGCAGAGAAACUGCAGAUAUGUAGUAUACCACAUUGUGACUCCCAAUGUCUACUAUAUAGUCGUGAGCAAGAAUCGAAUACAAGACUUGCGAGUGGUCUGGAUAAUUAUCGUUGUAUUGUUGAUAUUUUAAUGAAGAUACACAACCCUUGUAUACAAAACAAUUCGACCAUAAGUCGGAUGUUGCAAACUUGCAACCAUACGUUACGCAUACCAUAACUAUUUGAUUUAAAUAUUUUAUUCUUUUGACAAAGCUAUUUGACUACUAAGGUUUGACUUUAUUAAAAAAGAGUUUUUGACUUUAUUAAACAUUCAGAAAUGAACAACGAACGUAUGUGUAUAUACAAAAUAGAAUGCCACCAAACAGGGAUUAUAAAAGGGUUCGAAGAAGUCCGUACUUUGAUCGUAGACCUUAUUGCAUAUAAUAAAGAUCGAAUAAUCUGGUAGAAAGUUAUAAUUAUAUUUCCAUUUGAUGCAGAGCUGUCAUUUGCAUGCAUUUAGACAUAUCGGAGAUAAAGAGAAGCUUCCUUCCAAUCACGAGACGCAACUCGGAUUAAGCAAGUAUUACGAAGCAAACUACUCGGUGUCAUCAAUACUUAUAAUCAAGAAAAUUUAUUGUUCCAUUUUCUUGAUAUAUUGUGUUAUAGAUCCUGGCUUUAAAUUAUUAGUGGCGAACCUACACUACUCAAGGAGAGGGCAAGUGCCACCAUGAAAUUUUCAUAAUUUGUUUAAUAAUUAAUAUGCUUAAAUUUUAGCUAUUUUUUCUUAGUAAAUAUCAUUUUUAGCUAUAUUUUUUAAGCUUAUAUAAACAUUCGCCACUGCUUUAAAUUGAACGUCUAGAUCAGGAGAACGAUUUCUUGUUUAUUUUAUUGUCAAGCUUUAUGAAUCUUUUCUUUCAUUAUAAUUUUUCUUUUUGAGUGAAUUCAUCAUAAAUUACAAGACAGGUUCUUGAAAAAGAAGAAGAAGAUAGGUUAUCAUUCUCCCACAUGCAUUUAAAUCAGUCAGAAGGAUGUGAUAUUAUGUGUGAUAGAGACAACUUAAUGGAUUUAGCCCCUGUUGCUAGUCGCUACGAUGCUUCGAAAGCAACCAAUUUCAAGCUACUCCUAGUUGUGCUUGGCGGUAAAGUAUGAAUGAUCAUUAUUAUGAUAACUUUUUUUUUUUUUUUUGUCAUCGUCCAACCUUUAUUAAAGAAACUACUGUGGUCCGUUAAGGUCCGCUACUUGAGCAAGCCUAUUAGGAACCAAAACGUCUACAACUGAGAAGCAAUUACCUCGUGAUCUUCCCCCUUUAGCCAAGGAGUCCGCACGGAAAUUUAAAGUACGAGAGAUAAAAGAGAAUUCAAGAUCUUGAAAGUGUGUACUCAGCAGAGUAAUCUCGUCCAGCUCGGGUGCAAGAGAGGGCUAUUCAGUUUCAUUAAGAAAGAUGUUUAUCAGUUGUUGGCAAUCUGACUCUACGGUAACUCCAUCACAACCUCGGUUCUUCAUUUCGCUCAGAGCCCAUAUGAGUGUCUCCGCCUCCGUCUUCAAUGGUGAUUGCGCACGGUGGGUGCACUUCUGUCCCUGCAAGAUUACUACACCAGCCUCGACCAGGGUGAAGCCCAGUCCCAUCCAUUUGUCUUUCUCAGACCAGGAUCCAUCUACUUGACAUUUGUAACGAAGUCCAGUAUCUACUUGUACUGGAGCUGUUUGUCGUGUUUCCACAUUAGUUUCAUCUUCUACUUCUUCCAGGGUGUCUCCAAGUUGAGCCACUCUCCAUGCUUCCGCUUCUUGGGAUGCUGCCUGCAGUGUGUCGGGGGGGGGGAUAUAUCUUUUCCAUUAAAGCAUUUCUCGUUUCUCGCUUUCCAUAUAUACCACACAAGCCAUGGGAAAAUAGAGAAGCCAUCUGUCUGGUUAUUCGCUGUCGCAACUUGAGUCAAUAGGAAGUCGCCGUUCGAGAACAAAGAUGUUCACGGGAAUAGACCCGGAGAGGAGGGGAUCGGUGACAGAGCCCAGCACUGAAGGGCCGGUGGGCACUCGAAGAGGAUAUGAUUAAUAUUCUCCAUUUGAGCACCGCAUCUCUGGCACGAAGGGUCUGUACCACAGUGUCGCUCCACCAGCUUACUUGCCGAUGAAACAAAACCUGCUAGGGCCUGCCAAAUAAAGUGUUUGAUCUUCCUUGCUGUCUUUAUCUUCCAAACUCUUUGUUUCAGCGCCGUGACGCUGGGUUCUACUAUCGGCAUAGAGUUUUGGUUUCUUCUUUGUUCGACCGCGAUAUCAUAGCCCGAUCGGACCGUGUAUGCUCCCGACGUUGUAUGUUUCCAACAAUAUCCGUCUCUUCUUCCUGAUUUGCUGAUUUUAAUAUCCAAGAUAGUUGGAAUAUCGUCUUUAUAAAUUACCUCAGAGAUAAGUUCUAAAUUCCAACUCUUCGUCUCAAAGUCUAUUAGGUGAUGCACUCGAAGGUUUGCAUCGAACUCCGCUUGAGCUUUACGAGCUGGUCUUGCCACUUCUUCUGGGAUCCAAGCAUCGUCCCAUACGCUUGUCUCUGCUCCUGUCCCUAUAGUUCUACAGAUGUUAUCCUCCAGAAUAUGUUUUGCAGCCAUCAGGCUUCUCCAGCCAUAAGAUGGCGUUGAUGCUUUACCAGUCUGCAAUGGGUUCGAAUGGCGGUAGUAUCGUCCUUUAAGGACACACGCAAGAAGAGAGUCUGGGAACACUAGCAAGCGCCGAGAUUGAAAUCUCUAAAGUCUCGAAAACCUAGCCCUCCUUUAUCAAGAGGAACAAAAAUUUUAUCUCAUGCAAUCCAAUGGAUACCACGAUUAUUAUCUUUAGUGCUCCACCAAAACCUCGCCACUACGGCGGAUAAUUUUUUACAAAUACCAUGCGGAAUUAGGUAGCAUGGCAUCACAUAAGACGGAACCGCUUGUGCUACAGACUUGAUUUGUACCUCUUUUCCUCCUCGAGAUAACAAUUUACCAGACCAGCCGUUGAUUCUUCCAUUCAAUCUCUCUUGAACAAAAGAGAAGACUUGAGCCUUUGAACCACAAAUUUUCUCUGGCAUACCUAGAUACAUUCCCAUACCUCCUUCUCUUGAAAUCCCAAGUGAUCUUUUCAGAUCGUGUUUUAUGGACGUUACAACCUUAGAACCGAACAGAACUGAAGAUUUGACUUUAUUCAGUUGUUGUCCUGAGGCUUUUCCGUAGACGUCAACUAUUCGCAUCAGUUCCUCGCAUUGAGGUUGGUCUGCUCCACAGAAGAACAUGUUGUCAUCCGCGAAUAAGAGAUGAGAGAUCGGGGGCAUUCUCUUGCAAUCUUGAUACCAGUAAGAGUUUUGGUGGCUUCUGCAUGUUUGAUGUGUGAGACCAAAACUUCCGUACAGAGUAUAAAAAGGAAAGGCGACAGCGGAUCGCCCUGCCUUAGACCUCGUGUCGGUUUGAUAUGGCCCUUCGCUUCUCCGUUAAUCAGUACCUGGUACGAGACCGAAGAUAUGCAUUUCAUGAUCCUGUUGACCCAUACUUCAUCAAAACUGAGUUUCAGUAGCAAAGCUUCCAUAAAACUCCACUCCACCCUAUCAUAUGCUUUGCUCAUAUCGGUCUUGACUGCUACGAAUUUUCCUUUACAGCUUGGGUUUGUGCGGAGAGCAUGAAACAUUUCUUGUGCCACCAAAAUAUUAUCCGUAAUCAGUCUUUUCGCCACAAAAGCUGAUUGAGUCUCGAAAAUCAGUUCCGGAAGGAUAAGCUUUAAUCUAUAAGAAAAAAUCUUAGAUAUCACUUUAUAACCGACGUUGCACAAGCUGAUCGGUCUGAAUUCUGUCAUCGACGAAGGUCUAUCUGUCUUUGGGAUUAGGCAGAGGUUCGUUUGAUUUAGUCGCUCAUCCAGCUCUCCUGCCUCAAAGAAUGUUCUUACCAUUUCGCAGACAUCUUUUCCGAUUGUAGCCCAAAACUUUUGAUAAAAAAGGGUUGUCAUCCCGUCGGGGCCAGGAGCUUUUUCAGGAUUAAUCGAGAAAACAACAUCCUUUAUCUCCUCAUCGUGAGGGAUUCUCAUAAGAUGGUUAUUCAUCUCGUUAUCUACUAUCGUGGUAAUAUACCAGAGAGAUUCAUCUAUAUUAUCUGGGUUUGAAGUAGAGAAUAGUUGCUGGAAGUAAUCAGUUGCAACCAUCUCAAUGCCUUCUUCAGUUUCCACCCAUUGCCCCAUCGAGUUCUUUAGCCUGGUGAUUCGGUUAGGAGCUCGUCUCUGCUUUGUCUUUGCAUGAAAGUAUUUAGUGUUCCUAUCUCCCUCUCGCAGCCAGAGAGCCGGACUCUUUUGCUUCCAAUAAAGUUCCUCAUCUCUAUAGGUUGCACAUAACUUCCAUUUGAUCUCCAGUUCUUCUUCACUCGAAAUAGAGUCAUCCGCUUGUACCCGGUCUAGUUCUUUCUUUAGGCUUUCAAUAAGCUUUGCAUUGUUGGAGACAUGACUUCGUUUCCACCAGGAGAUUGCUCUUCGGCUCUUACUAAUUUUAUCACACAGGGAAGCAUCUCUAUCCCAAUCUCCUGGGUCCCAAGCUCCUUUCACCACAUUGGUGAAGCCUUCCUUUCCGAUCCAGCACUUAUUGAAUUUAAAGCUGCACUUGUUUUGGUUCUCUCUGGAUAGGAAUCUCGCCAGUAUGGGUCUAUGAUCAGAGCCCCAUCUCAUCAAAUACUCCACAUAAGUGUGGGAAAACAGUUGGUGCCAAUCCUCAUUUCCAACUGCACGGUCGAGGCGGCAUUGGACUCUUCCAGCUCUCGUCCGCCCUGCCCAAGACAUAGAAUUACCAACAAAGGGAAAAUCGAUCAUACCACAACAAGUUAACAUAUUUUUAAACGGUAAAAAUGAGGUUUCUGAUCUCUUUCGUCCUCCUUUCUUUUCCCCAUUGCUGGUGAUCUCGUUAAAAUUUCCCAAGAUCAGCCAAGCCCCUGUUCGGUUCAUACUCAUCCUCAUCAAUCAUUCCUAAACAUUUUCACAAUAUUCUAUCACCGGAUCACCGUACAUGAAAGUGAUAUACACUUUAUGUCAUUCUAUCCUUGCUUCAACAUCUAUCAUACGAUCAUUUAAAAAACCAAUAUCUAUCUCCGAAGCAUUCAUAUAAAACAAACCAAGUCCACCGCUCCUACCAACAGGAUCCAUGGUGAACAAAUUAUCAUAACCAAACUCAAUUUUACAUAUUAGUGCACUAACUAAAGACGAUUGAGUUAAGUGUUAAGUUAGUUUGUGAUUUCUUGUAUAAAUUCUAUAAUAAAUCAUAAAUAUAGUGAACAAAAUUAAGUAGUUUCAAAUAAUAAUUUACAUAAAAUUUGGGAAACAAAAUUCUGUUAACACUGAAUUAACUAUAUUAUCAAAAUAAUUAGUAGCUAUGUAAAAACAUCAUGAUGUUUUGUCGUACGCCUUGGAUCAAUUGGUCUACAUAGAACAUUUGUUGGUAACUCAUAAAAAAAUACUUUAUAAUUAAAAGGUUUGUUAGUAGAAAACACGUUUGUUAGUAGCUAAUUACCAACAUAUGUUUCUAGAACCACCAAGUCCCUAGUAACAUUCUAUGUCAUCACAUCUCAUACACGAAUUGGAGUUAUUAAACCCCGGCAGCACAAGUGUCAACCAUUAGCUAUAAGCCCGGAUUAUAAGAAAAAGGAAGAGAAUAUGCUAGAAUGACAAAGUAUAUAAGUUAAUUGGCACAUAGUAUGCAUAAACCCCAUUGAAACAUAUAUCCAAUACAUAUGGGACCACUCAUUCUAGGUUUACACGACGGACAAAUACACAAUCUAAUUGUGCAUGAGAGGAGAUCUAUAAGUUUGUUAGCUAGAUACUUAUUUCAUUUCUUGGAUUGUAAUUGAAGAAAUAAUUGUAUAUAUAGCGUUGUUGACCAAACCUAUAUCAAUGGUAUAAAAGUUUUGAUAGCAACCCCUGCAGUCAACAGUUUACGUGCCAAUAUUAUUGUCUUGGUUUCUGAUCAAGUACUAUCACAAAUGAUGACCCUUUCACAAAACUGCAAAGAACACUGGUGGACAAAGAGAAAAUAAUAAAUAGUGAUAAAGAUCGAUGGAAAUACCUUUUUUGAUAUUUAGUGGAAGAAAUAUACGUUGUAUAUAUGGCAAUUAGUUUACCAUAUAGGAGUAUGAGUUUUGUUGAACUGCCCGACUAAUUUAAAGUAUACCAUAAAACAUUUUCCGCAAACUCAUCACGGAUACAAUGGUCGAACCAAAGUCUAAUACUCCGUGGAAAGUGUUAACAUAUAGUAGACUCGAACGGUCGAACCCAAAGAUACAGCAAAUUUACGUUUUUGGUAUCAAAUCAAAUCGUCCACACGUCACAUUCACAGACGAUGUUCUUCUUACGACCAUUACGCAUAUAUUAUCUUAAAGUAGUAUCACAGAUCAUUAGUAUCAUUUUUCUUAAUAUACAAUUAUCAUUCUUCUUAAAAUACAAUUAUCAUUUUAGUACAAAUUGUAACGUGCUGCAUGCACUUACAGAACUCAAGAAUCAUCAAUAUCUUGUGAUUAGAGUUUGGAUUCACGGCUAGUAGAUGCGGGACAUAAAGUCGUGUGGGAGAUGUAUAAGAAUCCAUCAUCUCAUUAUGUUUAUUAUGAUGAAGAUUUCAUCGAAGUUUAAAUACUAUUAAAAUAAAUUGGAUCAGAAAGGGAGCUUUAAAAUUCAAACGAAUCAUUACCAAGAUCAUUAAAAACUAGUCGAAUAAGAUCUAUCUAAGAUUGUCUUUUAAGAUUUGGAGGAUUUCGUUUUAACUAAUAUUAGUUGUCAUACCCGACUUCAAAUAAGUAUGUGGAGCUGUCUGAAUCUGAUAACUCUUUGCGGCUCAGGUUACAAAAUUCUGUUUGCAACAAAAAGAAACACACAUAAUUAUACAACAAAAUGACAAUUCGUGUUUUUCUAAUACAAAGCUCUAUAUAUUUAAAAGAAAUGUAAACUUAAAACAAAUAAAAUUUGAAAAUAUCCGUAUUUAAAAGAGUAUAACAUUAGCUGUCAAGCAUCGUAAACAUAUCUUUAGAACUUAAGAUAGUACCAAUGGAUUACAUGAACUGUUAUAAAAAAUGCUCUACACGAUCAUAGACAAUAGACUAAAGUUUAAACCGUAUAUAAUUUCUUUCAGUUUUUUUUGUGUCUUCAAUCCAAUGUAACGUUUUACUCGUAACUAUGAUCGGGAUUGUCUUUUUCUUGUUGGAGAGUAGAUUCAUAGAGCUUUAAAAUUUUGUAAAACCAAAAUUUCAGUUCUAUCUUUCACCAUAUUUUUGUAAAAGUAAUUCGAAUAAAUUAGGCAUGAGACUUUGUAACUGAAUCCAAACCAAAUCUUAUCCGAAAAACCUGAAUCCGAAUCUGAUCCUGCAUAUAAAAUACAUAAAUAGAUCAUGUUUAACGGUAACAUGGAUAUCGAGCAUUAUCCAAACUCGUUCCAAAUUCACAAUAUAAAAUCUGAAAAUUGACCAUGAAUAAAUGUUUUUAGAUUUGAAUUAGUAUCUGAAAUUAGGGUAUGGAACCUAACUAUCUAAUAUUAUAUUUAUUAUCGGUAUUUGGUCAUACAUUAUUCAAGUUUUGUACGUUAUCUAAUGAAUUAAAUCGAUUUGUUAAGUGAUUUCAGAGUAUUUAAUAAGUAGUUCAUAUUAAAAUAUCAGCACUAACUCAAAGAACCUAAAAAUAAUAUUUUUUUCCGGAAAAAAAAACCCAUAUAAAUACUUGAAUUCAGCAUGAACCCAAAAGGAUUUGAACCAAUUUGGCUCAAAAUUCAAAAAUACUCGAAUGGUGUUUAAUAUUUAUUCUGAAAAAAUUGAAAUAUCUGAACUGAAUCCAAAUAAAUAUCCAAACGUAAAAUAAAUAUACAAAAGGUCGUAUUCUUAAUAACGCAAAAUAUAUAUACAAAAGGUUUCUUUGGCAAAACCAAUUAUUGGUUUAUGCUGAGGUUUAAGGUCUAGACUUCCGGUAAAAAGGAAGAGAAAAAUUAAAGGUGAAAUUUCCAAUGACAUAACAAAAACAACAAAAAGGUUUAUUUUGUUCUGACGCUAAAUGCAAAGCUUCGCAGUUUAGCUCAUCUCUCCUUGCCGUUGCUCUCUCAUACGCUUUUCUUUUCCCACACACACAUUUCUGCAGACUAGACAAACAACCUCCUAAUUUUCUAAAGAUCAAAACUUUUAUUACAUUUUAAAGAACAUAACUUUUGAAAAAAAGAAAAGGAACAUAACUUUUGAAAAAAAAAAGAAAUGGACUUUGUUCAAAAAAAGAAAGAAAUGGACUUUUUUUUUGCUUUAAUUUCCACAGAAUUUCAGAAUAGAAAUGGAGUUUUGGAGUGCCAAAAAUGGAGGAGAUCAUAUGUAUUACAUGUUUGUAGAUAACCCAACAAAAAAAAUGUGCCUUUUUCGAAAAAUAAUCUCUCAACGAACCCUUUUUAUGAUAUGAAAAGCAAAAAAAAAAUGAGCUGGAAAAUGGCUGGGAAAUAACCUAAUCUUCCACCAACAGCCGAUUCACAAUCUUUACGCUUGGCUCCAAAACUUGCUCCUCCCAAAUCUCUCUCCACUCUCGCGACGAACUCGAACUCAUCAUAACAGCUCUAAACGACGCCGUUGCGUCAACUCUCUUAAUAUCCCAACCUGCUUCUCUCAGCUUCUCUAUCUUCCAUACUUGCCUCCUCGCUAACCUCAACGUGUUCUCCUUGAUAUCCCCCACCGCCUUAUCGUACGCCGCUCUCCUCCCUGAAUCCCACUUUAUCUCCUUCUCCGGUGGGUACAUUUUGAAGUAACCGUCGAACUCCGGUACGCCUAUGGCUUUCCGGAUCCCAAACCGGGCCCUACUCGCUUUCACCGGGUCGUAAAACCCGGACAGCUCCUCGAACAUGCCCGAACCCAUCAUCUCGUCGACCCGUUUCAGAAGAUACUCGAACAGCACAGGUUCCGACACAUCUACCCAGAUGAAACAGCUGUCGUACCGCAAAUCCCGACAUAUCGAAGAAGAAGAGAAAGGAUCGAUCUUUGGGUCGAAUCUCUCGGCGAGGAGCGCGUGGACGAAGGAGUUGGAUCCGCCGGCGAUGAUCGGAAGCUUUUUACGGGAGACUAUGUCGGAAACGGCGUUUGAAGCGUCGACACGAAAAUCUCCGGCGGUGAGUUCGCCGUCUUCGGAGGGGAGAUAACCGAGGAGGUGGUGAGGAACGCCGCGACGGUCCGGGAUGGUAAUCUGGUUGGUGGUGAUCUCUAGUCCUUCGUAGACUUGGAUUUUGUCGGAGUUUAUGAUCUCUGAAGGGAAACGAGUGGCGAGAUCGACUGAAAGACGUGACUUUCCGGCGCCGGUUGCUCCUAAGAUGACGACGAUCUUGUCUUUUCGGUUUCUCGGUCGUGACUGCUCCAUGCGUACGGAGACAGGUCUGUGGUUACUUUGUCGUGUUCGUCGAUGGGUGAAGGGAAGAAGGGAAUGUGCGGAGAAGGACGGUGACGGUGACGUCGUCGUGAAGCGAUCGGAGGUUGUUGGGAGGAAGUUGAGUUCUGUCAUUACCAUGGAAAGAGACAAAAAAAAACAAAAACAAAAACAAAAAGUCUGUGUCUUUUUUUCGUGUACGGGUUUGGUUAUGUUUUGUAACGAUGCACCACACUACAAUCUCUCUCUCUCGGAGCUUCGCUUCAAUGGAGGAGGUGGCCGAAAACUAAUGCGUUACUACUUCUCGCUCUUGUGUUUUUGCUCCGGUUUAUUGGGUUUGGAGAGGGUUUAGGAGAAACAAAUCAUGAAAUUAUGUUUUAAAUUUUAUAAAAAUAAGCCAAAUUACAUGAUUAAUCAGAGAGUUUUUGUCUCUAGACCUGAAUAGAACCUAGAAAACAACAAAAGAAAAUGUUAAUUUCAGGUAUAUUAUAUUAGUACCUUUCAGUACAAGCUUAUUUUUUAAUUUUUUUUUCCUGACAUUUUAAUGUUUGUUUGUUUUUAUUGUUUUUCAGUGUGUUCCAUCAUUAGAGUAGUGCUAAUAAACAAGGACAAGCUGGGUCUAUUUAUAAUUUUAUCCAAAAAAAAAAGAUAGAUCAUCCAAAUGGCAAAAAGGGAAUAAAUAACUUUGGGUGUAAAAACGCAGAUGAGUGCCACGUGUUGGGGACUGAAGUUUAUGGGGUGAGCAAUGGGAAGAACGCAAUGGUGAAGGUGUGUGCACAAGAUAGACGCGUGGGGGGAUUCAUUGGGCCAUUGCGAGCGUGAAUUACAACAUCACAUGCUUCUUAACAACUCUCUAAUUGUGCGUUUCCACGUUCUUUAAGCUCUCCACGCACCUACAAUCUUCAUAGAUAAGUAUUAGCUUACAAGCAAUGAUCCAAAUAGCUCUCUCUUUUCUCUAAACCGAGAGUUUUUAUAUCGAAAGUUUGUACUUUCUAUGUUUCUUCCGGAUACCAAGAGGUCCAUUACACAUCGUAUGGCUUUAAUUGCGAGCAUAGAAUCUAAACUUGGUAUGAAACAUUCUCAACUUCAUUUCGUAAAGAAAAAUCUUUGAUUGGUUAUAUGUUUAUGUUGUUUAUCAUUCACAUAUUUAUGUUUUACAGUUUUUUAAUUAAUAUAAGGUUCUAGAUCUAAAGGCUCGCAAAUUGUUUUAGGAAGAAGCAUAACCAUUUCAACAUCUAUUAUGAAAACUUCUCCAUCAAAUAUUAUCAACAAGGAAGUUGAAAAAACUUUAAUUGUUGAUUUCUUAACCACAUUGUCUCAAGUUAGUGGAUUUAAGAAUCUUUCUCGCUUCACUGUGCUAGAUGAUGAGGAUCAAGCCACCAAUGAACCAAUAAAUUUGCUCAGUUUGACAAGGAGUGAAAAAGAGACAAAAUCUCAUAUCAAAUACCAUGAUUUGAAAGGGAAAACAAUGCAAAAGAAUGUAAGCAUGAUUGGCGCGGUCGUGGUACUACUCGCUAGUUGCUCUUUCUCAUUUUAUUUUGGUUCAUCUCUCUUGUGCUUUAGAAGUUUCAAGGUAUAAUGUAAUUAUAUAUGAAAUGUAUUCAUGUAAGCUUUUUCUCUAUAAAGUUAUUAAACCUUAUCUUAUAAUCAUUUAUAUUUUUAGUUUGAAAGCCCUUAGUAAAAAAAAGAGGAAGAUGUGUAACCAUGUUAAAUUACAUCUCCUAAAGAGAGCAUAUCAUUUCUAACGAGAAUCAAACAUAUGACCAUUUGUACACUGUCAACUUUUCGUUGGAUACAAUUUCACUGUUAUGAUAAAGAAGAUAAAAAGAAAACGUAUCUUUUAGCACUGCAAAAUAACACAAUUUUAACGACAAAAAAUAACGAGGAAAAAAGUCCUCGUAAAAUUACAUCGUCUUUACGAGUAUCUUACGAGGAAAAAAAAUUAACGUAAUUUCGUCGUAAAAUAACGACAAUAAAGUUUUGUCGUAAAAACGACGCAAUUUAACGUGAUUUUUACGUAAAGUAGACGUAAAUAUAACGAGGACUUUACGACGAAAUAUAACAUUUAUGUGAUGAAACACCAUAAUAAACAUAUUAAGGAGCAAGAUCUCCCAUUUUUUACGUCUAUUUAGCAUCGAGAUCUCGAGUGCACCAAUUUUUUCGUUGUAAACACGUUUUUUGUUUCGGCUAGCUAACUAUAUUUUCUUCCAUACCCUCAGAUGAGAGAAUUAUGAAUAAAUUGGUUAGCCGUUAUCAAAGUUACACCUCGUGGACGAAUAAUCGGUGGAGAAGAACAACCUUUGCAAGAAGAACACAUCAAUGAAGUCGAGGAACCUGAACAAUAAACUGAUGACAUCCUUCUCAUUGAUCCGCAAAAUCGUGAGUACGAAGAUCUUCCCGACGAUACUACGGACGAAGCUAUUGAAGACGAGUUUAAUGAAAAUGAUGAUGUUUCUAGUGAUGACGAGAAUGUCAAUGAUGUAUCCAAAUGAUGAUGUAAUUUUUUUUAUAUGAUUUACUUUCAGACUUAAUGCAUGUGUUUAGUUUGUUUAAUCAUGAAAAUUAAAUUAUAUAAUUUGAUUUUGUGUAAAGCAAUUGGGGGUUUGGGGUUUGGAAAGAAGAGAUUGAGAUUAUAAGUUAAGGAAUUUGGGGUUUGGGGUUUCGGGUUAUAUGGAUUUACAUAUCUUCCUCGUAAAAAAACACCGGCCUUCUUAUUUUCUCGUAAAUUAACGAGGUUCUUACGACAAAAUUUAAAAACACUACGUAAACUACUCGUUAAAAGAAAACACGGGACUUGUUAUUUCCUCGUAAAUUUACGUGGACUUUACGACGAAUAUUAAAAAUGUAUGUGUUUAGUUUGUUUAAUCAUGAAAAUUAAAUUAUAUAAUUUGAUUUUGUGUAAGGCAAUUGGGAGUUUGGGGUUUGGAAAGAAGAGAUUGAGAUUAUAAGUUAAGGAACUUGAGGUUUGGGGUUUCGGGUUAUAGGGAUUUACAAAUCUUCCUCGUAUAAUCCUUGUAAAAAAACAUGGGCCUUGUUAUUUCCUCGUAAAUUAACGACGUCUUUACGACGAAAUUUAAAAACACUUCGUCGUAAACUACUCGUAAAAAGAAAACGCGGGACUUGUUAUUUCCUCGUAAAUUUACGUAGACUUUACGACGAAAAUUAAAAAUGUGUGUGUUUAGUUUGUUUAAUCAUGAAAAUUAAAUUAUAUAAUUUGAUUUUGUGUAAGGCAAUUGGGAGUUUGGGGUUUGGAAAGAAGAGAUUGAGAUUAUAAGUUAAGGAACUUGAGGUUUGGGGUUUCGGGUUAUAGGGAUUUACAAAUCUUCCUCGUAUAAUCCUUGUAAAAAAACAUGGGCCUUGUUAUUUCCUCGUAAAUUAACGACGUCUUUACGACGAAAUUUAAAAACACUUCGUCGUAAACUACUCGUAAAAAGAAAACGCGGGACUUGUUAUUUCCUCGUAAAUUUACGUAGACUUUACGACGAAAAUUAAAAAUGUGUGUGUUUAGUUUGUUUAAUCAUGAAAAUUAAAUUAUAUAAUUUGAUUUUGUGUAAGGCAAUCGGGGGUUUGGGGUUUUAGGGAUUUACAUAUAUUCCUCGUAAAGUCCUUGUAAAAGAAAACACGGGCCUUGCUAAUUCCUCUAAAAAAAACACGAGCCUUGUUAUUUACUCGUAAAUUUAUGUGGUCUUUACGACGAAAAUUAAAAAUGAAAAGGCAGGCCUUGUUACUUCCUCGUAAUUUCACGAGGAUUUUACGACGAAAUAUAAUUCCCUAUAUAUACCCGAACCAUCUCACUUCUCAUUUCGUAGUCACUUCCUCUCCUCCUUUUAGCAAGGUACUCCUCUCUACUUCCUCUCUAGUUUAGCUUAAGUGGUUAGUUUAGGGUAAUUAGUGUUGAUUAGGUGGUUAGUGCAGGGAAUUUGUAGAUAGGUUUAUGGAAUUUGUUGACAAUAUAGGAUGAUGAUUUUUAAAUGUUAAUUAAUAAUCUAUUUAUAUGUUUUCUUUUCAUAUUGUUAAUAAUGAAAAUUAAUUUUUUUUCCAGAUGGUUAGAAAGAACAAGCUUACAGGAGAUGCAGAGACAAAAUCCCGUUCCAGAGCCACCCCACACAGGAGGAUGAGGAAAAAAUAAAGAGGAGGAGUCAGGACCUCUUCUAGGAGAUGCAGAACAACAACCCUUAGUUUUUUUUCUUCUUUUUUAUUGUAUUACAAAUUUGAAACUUAAAUAUUUAUAAAAUAUUUUCGUAUUGAUUUAUUAUUUACAUUUUUAAUAAUUUUGAAAUAAAUUUAAAAAUAAAUUUGAUUAUAUUUUUUUGUAAGAAAUAAAGAAUCGAAGUAAAUUUGUAGCUAAAUUACUUCUAGUUAACGAGGAAAUUGAAAAGUUGUUAGCGAGAAAUUUACGAGGAAACACUUUACGUGUACUUUACGAGGAAAAUGUUUACGUGGCUUUUACGGUGAAAUUAUUGACACUACUUUACGACAAACCUUUCCUCGUAACUUUACGACGAAUUAGCGAGGAAAUAUAUGUUACGACGAACGAUUAUAGUAAGAGGUUUCAACAACGAAAACCGUCGUCGUUAUACAUGCGUUUUCUUGUAGUGUAGCUGGAUAUUAUUUUCCUUUUCCAUUAUUCUUCAGUUAUUUUGUAUUUCCAUUUAAUUAACUUUUUACCAAUCAUAUUUUUGUAGAAAACAAAUCUUUCCAUGAAGAUUUUUUGUAUAGUCUUUUUUUUUUAAUCGCUGAAUGAUUUCAGAUGGCGUUGAGUGAAAAGAUUGUAUCUAAGUUAAGAACUUAAGAUAUUGAGCGUGUGACUAAACGAAAAACAGCUGCGUAUGUAGUUAUAAACACUUUUACGUGUUUUACCACGACUUCAAAUGUCAUAACAUACUUCAUAAAAUAGGUAAUACGCUAAUAACAGUCACUUGAACUGCAUGCUGUUGUAUUCCUCGUACGUUUCACACAUUAUAUUUCUUGAUAACUACGUACGUUACGCACGUUGUUAAAUUGUCAUUAAACUUACUCUAUACAACAAACAUAUCGCCAAUGGGAAUAAUCUAUAUGCGCUUACGCUGAAGCAAGGUUCUUUUUUUUUUUAACCAAGCGCUCGUGGCUUGGUGGUAAAAGAGGUACAGCUGUACUGCCCGCCACCCGGGUUCGAGCCUUGGCCACAACGGAUUUAACAUCCCUUCCGUUGGGGCGCUGGAUCCCCUACGGGGAUAGUUGGGAAUGUGGAUGCUCAGAUACCAGAGUUACCGAAAAAAAAAAAGGGUUGUUUAUUUUGUUUGGUCGGAGACUGAUGAUGUCGACGUAUGCUACUAUCAUAUGAUCGACCAUUUAUCUAGCUACUCCUUGUGGGCAAUAAAACAAAAUAAUAUACGAUUAGUUAUUUUAUAAAUGGUAUGCCAGUGUUUCCGCAAAGUCAACGGCUUCUCUAAUCCAAUACAAGAAAAUAUAAAAUUUAUUAACACUAAUCAGGUUUCUUAUUUUAUAUACUUCACUAAAACUUCCCUUUCAUCCACAUUAUCAUCAACUAUUAUAUGAUUUAAACCGACACUAAUCCAACUAAACUGAAAUUAAAAUUCACAUAUCUAACAAAUUAUAUGAUAUAAUAGUCCAAACUGCCCUACAAGAUGUCAACCGAUUCAGAUGGAUACAUAACUCACGUAUACACAAAUGGUUUUAUAUAGUUUUGAAAUUCAGUCUUUGCUGACCAAAAUAAAGAAAACCAUGCACUCUUUAGAUAUACAGCGAAUCACACAUCUAUUUAUGAAUAUAAUCAAUCAUCAAUUUUUAAUUGACAAAAUAUUUAAAUUCUCAUGCAUGCGUGUCUAAAACUGUACGGCAAAUAUCGAUUAUCUUGUAUGUGAUUUAUCUAAGUUCAAAAAAAGUUUGUAAUAACGGCACCCAGCAAAUUUGAAAAAACUACAAUGACAAGGGUAUUAAUUAUUACCAAAAUUUAGAAAAAAGAGAUUAAUUAUUAGAAAAACUUGAGAAAUAAAAUUGAUAAAUGACAAAGAAACGUUGGACUGGACAAAGCCUCCACUUGGCUUCGCCACAACUCAACGCCACGGUGCACACAUCAUCCGGAACUGUAUAGUAUCUGUAUCUAAUUAAUGUUAAACCAGUGGCUGUAAUCAUGAUUAAGUGCCGUAGGUCUUGUCUCUUGUGGAAAUGUAUAGAUUAUAGUCUUAAGUUCGUUUGAUAUAAUAUAUAUAAUAAUACAAAUACAUCCAAAAAGUGUAGCGCUAAAACUGAACUCAUAGAAUAAUCAUUGCCUAUAUUAAACAAGUCAGUGAUCUGAUGUAUCAAAAUAUCAAAUUAUAUAAAAAUAUUCUAUAGGUACUUUAAUUUCCAAGUAAAAAAAUCACAAUAAAAUGACCACUUUUUCUUUUAAUAUAAAUACUAAAACCCGUAAAUGAAUCGAAAACAGUCAUCGCCGGUACACCAGAUAAUAGCAGUGGAGUUAUCGUUGGGUUCACCAACCAAUAGAAAGUUGUCAUUUUAAAUCUAGUAUCUUUUAAUUAAGGAAACCAAAUAACUUGCAAAUUAUAUUAUUUUUUCAAAAUAAAAUUUAAAAAUAAAUAAAAAUAAUAUAUAAAAAACGAAUUCAAAAAAAAAAAUGUUGUCAACAAAACACUAAACCCUAAACUCUAAUACUAAACCCUAAACUCAAAUCCUAAACCCUAAAUCCUUAAGUAAACCCUAAAUCCUUGGGUAAAACCCCUAAACCCUUGGAAAAACACUAAACAUGUUGUCAACAAAACACUAAACCCUAAACUCUAAUCCUAAACCCUAAACCCUUGGGAAAACCUUAAACCCUUGGGUAAACUCUAAACCCUUGGGUAAACCCUAAACCCGUAGGUAAACCCUAAACCCUUGGAAAAACACUAAACAUUUGGAUAAAUUCUAAAUUAUAAAUCUUAAACACUAAACUCUAAAUCUUAAAAAUAAAUAUUUUUUUAAACAAUAUUUUUUUAGAACUAUUGUUAUUUUUAUUUACUUAAUUUUUUAUUUUUUAUUUUAAAAGCAUAAUAUAAUUUGGCAAGUUAUUUUGUUUCCUUAAUUAAAAGAUACUAGAUCUAAAAUGACAACUUUCUAUUGGUUGGUGAACCUAAAAGUUCACCCUAGGGGGUGAACCCAAGAAAAAGUCAUAGCAGUGCUAUAUUACACGGAAGUAAAGCAAAGGCGAACCAACAACAAUAACAUAAAGAGGAAUUGACAAAAAAAAAAUAAGUAAAAGAGAAAAAACAAGAGGGGAGGGGGAAAGGAAGAUUAUGGAGCUAUGUUACAUACGGAAGCGCAGAAGCGAAAUUUUUUAAAAAAUUAAAAAAUCGGAUACGUGUUAAAAGCAUAUCCAUAUAUAUGUAAGAUUUUGUUUUAAAUCUAGAACUAAAAAUUAUAUGAUUUAAAUUUAAAAUAAAAUAUUUAUUCAUUUAUAAUAAUUUUGAAAUGACUUCAUAUUAAAACUGUAAAAAUACACAUAAAUUAAAUUAAAAUAAAUUAUUAUAUUUAUUUUAAAUUCUUUAUAAUUAACUGACAUAAUAUAUUUGAAUAUAUGAUUUAUUUUAAUAAAAACCUCAAUGAGGCUUCCAUGCAACAUAGCAAUAGAGGCAAGCCCUCCUUCGAUAAAUAUCGGCGGUAGUGGAUCCAAAUGUUUGAGACUUCACUAAGACCGGGGUGUCCAAACCCGCAUUUAGAUCCGUCUUCGUUAUAUCAUCAUAGAAACCAUUUUGGAGGCGUCCUGCGGCCACCGACACCGUAUUCGAAAAAAAUGACUCCUGAAGCCCCAACUGCCAUAAGUCGCCAUGGAGCAUCGCCGCCUCAUAGUUCGAGCGACCGCAUGUUUACCAUAAAUUUAUACGAGUCAUACAAAACACUAAGGGCAUGAUUAACCUCGGUUUCUUAGUCGGGUUUCUUAACUCAUGAUUUGACACUUUUUUGUUUUUUGUUUUUGUUUUACACUUUUUUUGGCAAAUAGAUGAUUCUUAUAUCUCUUAUUUAAGAGACGGUUCUUAGAUUUUCUUAGUUAAAAUCUAAAAAAAGCUAAGAACUGUCUCUUACCCGAAGCUAAGAACCCCAGUUAAGAGACUGAGGUUAAUCAUGGUCUAAUAAUGCUUAAAAUCACAACCAUCCAAAUUUGUAAACUCUGACAAUUGUAUCUCCAACCGUUAUGUUUACACCAGUCAGAUCUUAAAUGGUAAAAGUUUCAACAAAAUCUCUAAUUAAACCUUUUUCGUGUUACUGUGAAUCCAAAUUAGUUUAUUAAACAUACCAUCAACACUAGAACUGUCACCAAAAAGAAUUGUCUCCAACAAUAAAGAUACUGCUUUUUUGGAAUAUAUUAACGUUAAUAAUCAAGGAGAUUAUAUGUACUGCUCCACAGAAACAACAUACAAUAUAGAAAAGGAAAAAAAAAAGAAGAAUAACGUAAUAAUACAACUGAUAGUUGUAAUUAGAGAGUUUAGAGACUGAAUAUUUCUGUUGUUAUUAUUAAUGAUCAAGGGGGUUCCUUUAUAUAAGGAUUACAAGGUGAAGAUAAAUGGAAAGUAUCCAAAACCUAAACUCACUAAGAUUAGGAAAACUACUAAUACAUAAUAAUGAAAAGAAUACAUCUACUAGGAAAAGGAAAGGGUUUCAUUUUCUCCAAGCUUUGUGGUCGCCUUUCUCUCUCCUGAAGUCGGCUCUCUCUCUCCUCUCUCUAGGCUUCGGCCAUCUCUCCAUCUUCUAGGUAUUGGGCCGGUCUCGGUCCAGGCCUGGUUAAUGGCAAUCCACUCCAUGAUUUAUAACACUCCCCCUUGGAUGCAUAACCAUACAGGAUUUGUAGUACGCUUCAUGUUGCCUCAUUAAAACCUUAUCAGGAAAACCCAGUGGGACAAAACCAUGAUGAAGGAAAAAGAGUACAACACGCACUACUCCCCCUGAUGUGAACCUCACUGUAGGUUUCUACAUUCUACGCAUCUGGUGCGUGAUCUUUCCUGUAUAUGUAGGAAAGGAGUAAUCGGCCAAGUUCAUUGCUAAGCCGUAUCUAGACCACUUUAACCUCUUAGGUCGUUUCUCAUGUCUCUUGACAUUGAGUGUCCUGGUAAAGCAUGUGUGCUAAACAAUGUGAACCAUAUUGUUCUCGGGGAUCACUAUUAGAUCUUUGCAUAUCGUGUUUGCAUGUGUCCAUAGUCUAGACGUGAUCGUCUACUCUUAACUCUUUACUAUGGUCGGAUAAACCAAGUACUUAUGGACAGUGUACUAGACAUGGUUAUCAUGAACCUAUGUCUCGAUCUGGCCGAUCCAUGUCUGGGUCAUAGACCUCGUCUAUACAUGUCCACUACCUGUCUCAUGAGUGUUCAAGAUCAAUGAUCAUUGCUGUAAGUUUAUAAUCUCUUAUUAUGGCUCUGCGGCCGAACACUCUCAUGGAUGUGGACAUCGAUUUUUAUGCCUUAGGCAGUACCAUAUCUAUCUCGGACAUUGUAGUCCUUUAUCCAUUUCUUGAUGGUGUCUCAUGACCUCCGUUGCUGUGGAUUAUAUCACACACUGAAAUAUAUAUUAUUAGGUCAUAGAUCUCGGCUCUCACAAGCUUAUGGACUACAAUACAUUUGUAUCCGGUUGAUCUUUUGUCUCUACUAGCCCGUGAUCAAGAAGAAGGGCCAGACGCCUUUUAGUCUUAAAAGCCGGACGCGUUUAGUAGAAGAGCCAGACGUUCUUUGCUGAAGAGCCGGACGCCCUUAGAUGGACAGAAUCGGACGUCUUUAAUUUGAAGGGCCGGGGCCGGAUGCUUUUGGUCGGACACCCACAUAGAUUUAUUCUAUGCCUACUAACCUCUUUUAGGUUUAGUAUCACAAGGAAUUUCAAAUAUAUGGACUGUAUUGGAUUGUCUUUUAUACAACUCCAAGAUCAAUGAUCAUGCGUGAUCAAUUUCUUUUACAUACUAUAUGCAGCUGCUUUAUGUUUCAGUCCAUGAAUCAGCUUUGGAACGAAGCUGUUCUUUCAUCUUAUCCAGUGAUCCAUAUGCUGCUUACUACAUCAUUUGUAUCUAAUAUCUUUCUUAUGACCAGACCAUUGUCAAUUUCAAAAAUCUGUAGCAGCAUCCACCACAUAGGAGUUUAUCUCCUUAUAAUAUGUUCCUUUAAUCUUUGUGAGGACCUUGUGUAACAAGCUUUAAUAUAAUGUUGUUAGUAGGAAAACAUGAACACCUUUACAUCAUGUACAUCUCUCACGGUUUCUUUACUUCUCACAAGAUCCAUCUAUUUCACUGGUUGAUCAGAUGGCGUUUCUGUAUAUGUAUAUGGCCAAUACGCCCAUCUCUCUUUUAGAUACUUUGAACCUCCACGUUUUAUCUUUUCUAAUCUCUAUGAUCUUUUAUGAUUGUAUGAGUACUCAUUCGUGGGUUCAUGAUCCUCGCUUAUCUCUUUAUGUUCAAGUGCUAUAACUUUAUGUAUAUUUAUACAAAUGUGUGUGUGUGUCGACACUUUCAUGUGGUUCCAUUAUGUUCCAGACAUGAUCUUUAGAUUUGAGAUCUUAUUAUCCAGGACCUUUAUUACCUAGUAGCUUGGCGUCCCAAGACUACAUGGUUUGGUACCUUAGAUGUGUAGCUGCGCAGCCUUUUAUCAAUGUCUGGUAUGGUUUCUCUUAUAAUCUCGGAUCUGUAUUCUAUGCACCAUUUUUCUAUCCGAGAUUCCUUUAUCUUAUGGGACACUUGGUCUAUCUUGUAUAGACUCUAGAGCAACUUGAUUAUGUCUCUUCUAGGACAUUCAUUUGGUGCUAAGCUGGUUAGUCAUUUCUCGGGUCAGUGUCUGGCAUUUCGAUUAGCUUCUCAAUUAGUUAGCUUUAUAUAAUCUUUCUUUGGACGUCUUAAAUUAUAAUCUCUAGUCCGAGGAUCUUUGCCAAGACAAUGAUGGUUAAAACCAUUCGUACUUUUAACAUUCUUUAUCCAGCUUAUAAUCUUUUUCCUUUAAUAUUCGGAUUCAUUUGUUUCAUGCAAUCCGUACCUGGCCACUAUUUGAUCAUCCAUGUUUUGGCUCUCGGUCCUUUUUAUUUCGUGGAGAAGAUCUUAUUCUUAUAUAUUCCCAAUCCUCUUCUGAGGUUCCAUCUUAGACGGCACAUGUAUGUUUGUGGUGGUUUAUUCAAAAUCUCUUAAGAUGGUGUAUGUCUGGUUUUAUGACCCGUAUUCAAUCUGAGAUGGGAAUAUCUAUGCUUACUUAUAUGGCCUGAUGCAUAUUAUCAUUCUAUACAUGUAAAUUCAUAAUGUCCCCAAGCUUAUAGACUGUAGAAUCUUAGUCUUAUAUAUAAUGGCUUACAUGGCCGAACCUUUAUAGGUAAUGGAUUGUGUGCGGCCAAGCCUGCACUAUGCAGCCAAGUCACGGCCAAGUCACGGCCGAGCUGUUUAUUCUCAUGGUCUCUUCAGCCGGGUAAUGGCCUCUUUGGUUUGGCCGUUUGUAUCAUGGCCUCUACGGCCGAGGAAUGACCUUUUAUGGCCGAGCCAUUUAUAACAUGGCCAAGUAAUAGCCUUUAUGGUUUGGCCGUCCUAAACAUGGUUUUAGACCAUAGUAGUACACGAGGCUGGUUAUUGCCUUUGCGGCCGAAGGCCGUUGUCUCUCAUGGCCUUUAUUGUUUGGGCGUUAUAAUAGUACACGAACUUGUAGUAUUGAUCAUGAGUUUAUCCUCUCUCCCCCUCAUGACCAUACUAUAAGGUCGUGGUGCUUGGGAUAAUUAAGCCUAAUGAGUUUCCCUUUGUGUACAUGUUUCACAACGUGAGAUCUAGAUUAGGAUCUAGAUUAGGAUGGCUAAUCCUAUCGUGCCAUAUAGUGUAAAAUUUCGUGGUGUUAUCUCAAUAUGGUUACCACAUCUCUUGCCUCUUUAUCAUACUGAUCUUGUAGCAUAGUUUUGAUCAGUAGAGAUCAUAGGUAUAGUCUCGACCACUAUCUUUCAAGGUCUUAGGCGUUUUUCUUCUUAAAGUCUAAAGGAACUUGUUUCCUUCCUUACCCAUUGUUUCUACUUGGAAACCAUACAUUAUAACUUCAAGGGGUCACAUGUUCUUUUGGGUGUGUAUAAUGCCUUUUAAGGCAAUGCCUUAGCCAUAGUUUCUUUACUAUGCUUACUAUACCCAUUCAUGAUUUCUUACUUGGUUUUAUGCCCUUUAGGCAACUCUUUAAAAUCAUUUAUAUGUUCCAGUAAGAUCAGGCAAGACAAUGAAUUCAAAACCAAUUCCAUUGUAUAUAUAAAAUCGUGAACCAUCAAGUAGGUUAAAGCAAAUCACAAAACAAGGACUUUAAAAUAAAAUGUCGAGAUCCCUCUUAGUUAAAUAGAUAAGCCGGCCUGUCCAUCUAUUGCAUUGGACACAGCUGCCUUGGAUUCAUCUUGAUCCAUUUCCUCAGGAUAUUUCAUCUCAGUGCUUUUCUUUAGUACCUUGUCAUUCUCAAUCACCGUUAGGCAAGAGAUCAGGUCAUUGUAAGUGGUAGAACCUCUUCUUAUGUAGAUAUGUUUUGACAACAAAUUUUCUGGAUGGAAUGUGGAGUAUGUCUUGAAUAGACAAUCAUUAUCUGUUACCUCUUCUCCACAUAAUCUCAGUUGGUACACGAUCCUGGACAAGGCAAAGUGAAACUCGGCCACUGUCUCAAAGUCUUGGAAUCUGAGACUAAUCCAUUCAUGUUUGACCUUUGGUAAUAAUACCAUAGUGUAUCUGGACUUUAAUUUUGUCCAAAGGUCACGAGGAUUCUCAAUAUGUAGAUACUGAUUUCUCAGUUCCUCAGUGAGAUGAUGGCGCAUUAUUGUAAUGGCUCUUAACUUUUUACUUCUAGUUGCAUAAUCACCAUGAAUGAUACUCCUUCCGAGUCCUCUUGAUUUCAGGGUAACUGAAGUGUUCAUUGCCCAUUCUAGAUAAUUAUCUCCAGAGAGAUUUAGAAUGGCAUAAUCCAUGGGGUUAAAUCUCGGCAUCUGAAAUCUUAUUAUCAAUCAAUUCUUGAUUUAGAAUCUUGCAACUAAUUCAAAUAAUCAGUGCAUAUGAUUUCAUAAGUCUUUCUAUGAUACGUUGGACCACACGGUCAUGUAUUGUGAUGCUUAGGCCUUACGGCUUUGCAUUGUGAUGCUUAUACCUCACGGCCAUUAUAAGAUACAACGAUCUUAAGGAUCGGAUUAUGAUGCAAUCCGGUUUAUAUAACCAUCCGGAUACUAGGCCACACGGCCACUUUGAUAUUCACUAAGCCACACGACUUUUAAUCAAUCAAGGGCACAAGGCCGCAAGUAUGAACAAUGUAUUAGGCCACACGGCCAUAUACAAAACGAGAUCUAGAUGCAUUCAAUCCUAUUUCUUAGUUGCAUUUCUAUUAAGUUUUACCAAAUUUCAAGGUUGGUAAUAUUAUAUUUUAGAAUCAAGCACUCUAGCAACCUAACUCUCAUUCAAAACAAUAUUAAAUUUUCAAUCUUUAAAGUUUAAGGUUUCAAGGCCUUUAGGAUUUUAAAUUUGAGAUUAGGGUUUUAGUUUAAACAAGAUUCAGAUUCAAGUUUUAAAACAAUCCUAAUCAUAGCUCUAGGCGAUCAAUCAAAUACUCAAGUUUCAAAUCAAAAUUAAAAACCGAUUUUCCAAAAUUAGGGUUUUAGGGGAUUUCGAAAACUUUGAUCUUUGAUCAAGGGAAUUUUGAUUUGAGAUUCAAAAACCUUUAAGGUUCUGAUUUUAAUUGAUCAAUGGAUCAAUCUCGUUUUUAGGUUUAGAUCGAACUUAUAGAGCUUCGAUUUACUCAUAGGGGAUUGAUCUAUUUAACCUAUGGCUUUUAGUUUUAGAGAUUAUCUUUUAGGGUUUCAAUCUUUACAAAAACAACCAGGUUCGAUUCAUGUUCUCAGAUUAAGUAUGUACCAUUGUUUUUGCAGGUCUAAACCGGACCACCAAAGAUCAGAGACGAGCUGAGACGAACGGACGCGGGACGGCUCCUUUAUCGGGUCGCAAGAUGGGACGAGACGCGAGCUGUCUAGAACGGUCUUGUGUCUGGUCACGGAUGUGUGCUGAGGUCGUCGGACGCGAUCGGGACGCGUCUCUUCUUAUCUAGUUCGCGAGCUGGUUGAUUGGGAACUCAAGCUGGCUGUGAUGCGAACUGGACUAGCUCUGUUGUGAACAGGAAGCUGCGAAUGUCCAGGAUCAGGAACGCUUAAGGGCUUUAGCUGAUCGGGUAUUUGCAAGCUGGAACGCAAGGAAGAACAAUCUAGGGUUCUUUGGGAUUAGAUUUUUGCAUCAACUCCUCUUAGCUCAUGAAAUAAAAACAAGGAGUAUUAGAUUACAUGAACACCAUAAUCUGAACAAGAUAUCAUCAAACAACUAAGGUAUGAUAAACUUAUCUUUCACAGGAUUUGAAUUUGGCUAGGAAAUCUUGUUGGUUCGGAUUAGGGUUCCAAAAGACCAAGACGGCGCCGCGUAUUGUUUCUGCGAGUGUGGGCGCGUCUAAGAUCAUAUCGACGAACGGUUUGCUCUGAUGGAUUCUUCUCGUCAAGAUCUUCAAUUUGAUAUGUGGUUCGUCGUCUGGUUCCUCAGGGUUUGAGAGAUAGAUCGAUUUUAAGUUGCGCCUGAUUUAGGGUUUAUGUGUGACAAAUUUUAGGUUAGGUUUUGUCUCAGGGUUUUGGGAGUCUAUCGUGCUGAUAACGUGUUGUAAUUAGAGAGUUUAGAGACUGAAUAUUUUUGUUGUUAUUAUUAAUGAUCAAAUGGGUUCCUUUAUAUAAGGAUUACAAGAUGAAGAUAAAUGGAAAGUAUCCAAAACCUAAAUUCACUAGGAUUAGGAAAACUACUAAUACAUAAUAAUGGAAAGAAUACAUCUACUAGGAAAAGGAAAGGGUUUCUUUUUCUCCAAGCUUUGUGGCCGUUUUUCUCUCUUCUGAAGUUGGCUCUCUCCCUCCUCUCUCUAGGCUUCGGCCAUCUCUCCAUCUUCUAGGUAUUGAGCCGGUCUCGGUCCAAUACCUGGUUAAUGGCAAUUCACUACAUGAUUUAUAACACUGAUGUAUAUUUCACAUAUUGCUUAUUGGAUUUUCAUUAUAUAGCUUUAGAAAGAACGAUACGUCGGGUCUUGUAAUUUAUUAAAGUUGAGAACGAGGUUUAGCUACCAAAUGAUGUAAAUUUUUUUGUCAGCACCAAAUGAUGUAAUAGAAAAACAAAAAAGGAAAAAUGGAUACAAAUUGUAUUAUUCAAAAGUUUACAAGGGAAACACAACAUUAUGAUGAUGUCCAUUAGAUUGUGGAAUUAUAUUUAUUUUCAUAUUAUGUAUAGAAAAAAAAAAUAAGUUUCUCUGCAAAUUGAGCAUCCACAUGCUGCCAUGCUUUGCCUCUCCACACGCGUGUUUGAGACCCAAACAAAAGUACGGCAUAGUUUAAUCUCCCUAAAUCAAAAUUAAAUGCGGUGAAAAAAAUAUUUAAGGAAAACUAACAGUAAACAACCUUCUCAUAUUGUUUUUCUUGUUACAUGAAUCCAUACUGAUUUACCGGUUUACCAUAAUCAUAUUUCAGUAGACUAAUAUUUGAGAUUUUACAAUACAUUUGGUCAUCGUAGAGUUGGAAGGCCAAAAUUUGAGUUUUUACAAUACAAAUUGCGAUCACAGUUCUCCACAAAAUGAAUUAUUAGCAAGUUUCUGUAAUUUUUAUUUUUAAAUGUCAAACAUCAAUGAGUUGUUAGUAGGGUUCAUUAAACUCAACAUCAAAAAUUUUAAAGAAAAUCAUUUUAUAGUACAAUGUAUUUAGAGAAAUCUUGCCAAUAAAACUCCGACCUUUCAAAUUAAAGCCAAAAGAAUUUUCAAUUCGUCUUUGAGUCAAAAAUAUAUAAUUUUUAAAUAUUGGUCAUUCAAACUCUCAUUUUUUGUUGAGUCGGCCAUUUUAGAAACUCGGAAAGUCAACUAUGAAACCGUAAAUGUCUAUCAAUUUACAAAACGACGUUGUUUUAAAUACUACUUAAAAAUUAUUCUUCGACACAAAUACCGUUAUUCUUAGCCUCAUUAUGAUUCUCAUUAGUUUCACUAUCAUCUUCAUUAUCACCUUCUUUACCUACUGGAUUUUGGAUAUUAGAAGACCGAAAGAUUAGAGAAUUAGAAAAUUUAGGUUUUGCAAAAAGAGGAGAUGAUUUAAAUGCUUACAGAUGUAAAAUGACAUCAUUUCAUUAAUGUUUAAUCAAUUUUUAAAAUGACAAUGUUUAUAUAUUAACAGACGUUUACGGGUUUAAUAAUUGAUUUUUUAGGUUUCUAAAAUAACCUAAUCAACAAAAAAUGAAAGUUAAAAUGACCAAUAUUUGAAAGUUGGAGUAUUUUUUUGGUUCAAACACGAAUUCAAAGUUUUUUUUACUUUAAUUUAAAAGUUUAAGGUUUUUAUUGUUGUUUUCUCAAUGUAUUUAUAAUUUAUGUAUAUAAUUAAUUUUGAUUUUUCUUUUCUCGAAACAAACUAGCUAGCAAGAAUCUAUUCUAUUAAAACACAAGUGUGACCUAUUGAUGUUAGUUGAGUCCGUUUCGUAUUAAUAUUAGACGUGUUUUUUCUCUAGCAAAUAUUAAAUGAAUUUGUAACGCAGAGAUUAAAUCUCGACUGAUAGGAUAUGAAACCUGGAAAUCGAUGACACACGACAGAGUACCUCGCAUUAUACGAGCAGAUCUGUAACAUCUGGACUGCCAUGCCAUGCAAUGGUACGUUACAUGAUGCAUAAUUAUUUCCAUGAUACCUACCUUUUGAUAUGAUAACUGUAUAUAAGAAAAAUACAAACUUUAUACGAUAACCACCGCAUCAGUUAACCUAAUAACCACCACAUCAGUUCUCAUCUAACUGCAUCAAUAUAUUUGGGCCAUAAACAUUUAAUUUACAAAACCCAUUAAAAUUGGGCCAUGGACUUUGAUUUACAUAAUUCAUUUAUAAUUGGUAUACAAAUUAUUAUGUGUAAUAAUAAUGUAAUGAUAAUUAUAUACGAAAUUAAAUUAUGUUUAAUUUUUUUUUAUUUUAUUUAUUUAAUCUAUCUAUUUAAUUACUAUUUUUUUACUAAACAAAACUGUAACAAUAUUUUGUUAUUUUUUAACAAAAUAACAGUUUGAAAAUAAAGUACCAUAUUAACGUGUUAAAGGCUAUGGCACAAAUGUAUAAUUUAACAAUAUAAUAAAUUCAAUACAAUUAUACAAAUACUUUACUAAUCAUUUUUUUAAAUUACGCAAAUACGUUUGUUGAUAAAAACACAAGUAUGAUUACAAAAAAUACAUAUAUAUUACAAGGAAAGAAAUAAAUAUAUAAAUUUAAUUUUAAAUAAUAUAUACAAAACAAAUAAUAUACCCGCCCUCUAGUUAUACUAUUGAAAGAGGUCGAUUAGUUGUAGAUUUAUACAGCUUUCUGGUAUUUUCAGUUAGUUUUAUACAGUUAGUGGCUGCUUUAAUAAGUUAGGGGAAUUUUUAAACAUAAAUUCGUUUGAUUUUAGCAUAUCUGUUCGAGUUUACGUAAUACGUAACUUAAAUAAUUUUCUACGAAAAAAAAUAAAAUACUUUUCUACUGAUCAACUUUAUUGUGCAGUGAUUUAGCAUUAAAAAUAUUGUGCAAUGAAAUCUCGGACAUAAUUUGAGAUUCGAGCUAGUUUGGGCUUGGACUAAAUAAAAUAGCAAUGGGCCAUUUCUAUAAGCUCACUGAUAAAUACCAAAAUUAAUUAUUCUCGGGACCAUUUACGAUUGCGUCCCCCCACCCACCAUGUAGAAACUGUUUUCAUAAGUUCAGGUAAUCUUUAAACUUAAUAAUACACUACGUCUUAACCGUGCGGGUGAUUAUUUUCAUUUUAAAAUAUAUAAAUAUAUGAUUUACAUGAUUAGUGGUAUAUAAUUGUAGUAUUUACUAUAUUAUUAAUAGUUUAAUAUAAUAUGUUCAAACACAAUAAUUUUAUAAUUUGCAUGAAGUAAUCUAAUUUAUUAUUAGUGAUAUCUCUCUUAUUAAAAUAUGAACACUAACUAAAACCUUACAUUAUGUGCUAUUUAUGAAAAAUUCUGUUCAAUUUAAUAUAAACUUAGAUAUUAAUUUCCUUAAGAUUAUACUUGUAUUUUAGAUUUUGGUCAUAUUUAAUCGAAUUAUUUUUAUGACUUAACUCUUUGACUGAAUAACCUAUAAGUGUAAUUUAUAAAAUGUUUGCUUCAUUUAAGUUAUUAAACCAAAAAUUAUAAUGCAUUGUGUUUGUUUUUGUCUUUUUAAACCUGAAUUUGUUCUUUACUAUCUUUGUUUUUUGAGGUUUUUUAUAUUGUCUAUUGGUGAUUUAGACUUUUCUACCUCAAAACUCUUGGAUUAUUUACAAUGAAUAUUUCAAUGUUAAAACUUUUAUUUACAAUUCUUCAUCUAUCAUACAUUACUUUAUAUAAUUAAAACUUAAACCUACAACUACACUGGAUAAUAAACACAUUGAAAAUAAAACUAUUCACAUGAAAUAUGUUUUUUCAGUCAUUCAUUUGUCAUUUACGUUAAUGACAUAGAUUGGUACAAUAUCUGUUGCACUUUCAAAAUUGCACAAGAUAAGAUAAACAAAACAAUUACAUUAAUGAAUAAUAUAUGAAAAUAGUCUGUAUAAAAUAAGCUUGAUUAUCUUUUUAUAAACAAAGUAGUUGUAUAAUUCUAUUAUUGAGAUACAAAAUUAAACCAACCACUAUAUUUAAUAACAGAAACUAAAUGCACUUUUAAAAUAACAUUUGUAUACCGAUCAUUCAUAUUGAUAGCAUAUUUUCAACAGUGUGAUAUAAAAUUCUAAAUUAACAAAUCUUAACUGUAAGAGAACAAAGAUUUAAUAAAAAAAAUGAUGUUAAAUUAAUAUCACAAAUUUGAUACAAAAUUGUAUAUGAGUUUAAUAUAAUUACAAAUUAGUUAGAUACUUAAAAGUUUUAUUUUAGUAAAAAUGAAAUAUACAUAUAUGUUUUAAAUAAUUACGAAAUUAAUUAAAUAUUCAAAAGAUUUGUUUACGUGAAAAAUGAAAUAUAAAUUUAUAUUUUAAAUAAAUACGAAAGUAAUUGAAUAUUUUAAAUUGUUUGCUUCAAUUAAAAAUGAAAUAUAUAUUUAUAUUGUAAACAAAAAGAUAUGAAAAGAUUUUAUGUAGAUGUAGUUUAGAGAAAAUACGAGAAUAUCUAUUUGAUUUUCAGAAUGAUUAAAAUAUUUCAAAUAUGUAUACAAAAAUUUAUUAAAGUAAUUUUUUAAAAGAUGAUCCAAAUAAAAAAUUACACAUGAAAUAAGUCAUCACUUCUGUUUUAAUAUGUAAAAUGAUUUACGUCUUCCAUAUAUAGUAGAGUGGUAGGGCAAUCAAAGUAGUGCCUAAAUCUUUAUUGUUGGGUCGCAAAUGUGUAAGGAAAAUGGACAAUGAGAUGCAACGCAUGAUAGUUGAUAAAAUGUUAGUUUUAGAACCAAAUAGAUAAGAGGAAUCUAUUAGGAAAAUCAUAUAGGUUCUAAAGCACAUAAGAGGAAUAUAACUCCCUGAAGUAGGCGAUUCAACCGGUGAAAGAAAGCCUUCGCCUCUCUGUAGGUGAUGCCGAGAUAAAGGGUUGUCCUCAAGCCCUCGUGAACAUCAUAGGAAGUAAGAAGGAGAAAUACAAACGAGAAAUGGAAAUCGCCAUGGUUUUUGUGUCUCGAACUAAGGAACAAAGGUUCUCGGUGGCUUACCUGGAAACCAACUUUCACUCGAUCUGAGAGGUGAAGCUCUGUGAAGACCUUGGACAAGCCGCUAGUGAAAACCUACUGGAGCGAGACGACAAGUGCAUGAACGGCGGCAACGGCAGACACGUAUGAUGUUCCGGCGGUCUUGGAUCUCAAAACUGACCGAGAUUUGAGCGCAGUCGGCGACUAACAUGAGAUCCAAGGUCCGAGAAGUAACUCAGAUUCCUCUCGCCUCACCAGUGGUCCGAGAUUGAGAUCGCAGAGUCUUAGAGUUUGAUUGGAAAUUUUAGGGGUGCGUUGGGUCACGAGCGGGAUUCUCUUCUUGAGUGUUAUUCUUAUCGUCCAUGUACACUUAUUAACUUCUUCUGUGUACUGUGUACAUGAUAGUAGUGCUCAUAAACGAUUAGCCCCUAGUGCUUGUAGACAGAAUUGUGGCGGAACCAUCACUCCUAAUCUAGUCACGGGCCAUGAAGACUACAUUGACCAAGUAAUGAAGGCCAGACGAUAUGAAACAAAAACGCUUCCCAAAUAUUUACGUAUUUUAUGCUUUGAGAGACAAAUAAAAAAGGGUUCUGAUGAAGACAAAAAAAGAUGUAAAGACAAACUAACUAGUAGAAUUAGUGUUAGGCCUCCUAGAUUUGCUAACCUUUAUCAAAUAAAUUGAGAGAGCUAAGAGCAUCUCCAAAAAAAGAACUCUAUUUUGAAGUUUUCAAAAUUCUAUAUUUGAAGUUUCAACGUGUUCUUCUCCAAAAGUAAAACUUCAAACCUAACUUCAAAAUUAUUUAUAUUUUACACUAUGGUCCUUAUAUUUGUCAUAGUUGAUGUAAAUUCAUAAAACUUCUAUAAAUAACUAGUACAUAUAUAUAAAUAUUACAGAAAUAUUAAUUAAAAAAUCUUACACUAAAAUAUAAAAUUAUAAAUAAAAGUACAUAAUUAAAUAUUAAACUGCAAGCAAAAUAGUACAUUAUUCCAUAAAAUUAUUUCCGUAAUGCUCUCAUAUAUGAUCAACUAGUGCAUUUCGAAGUAAGAAAUGAUUCUCUUUAUUUUUUAUUUGUAGAUUACGAGCCAAAAAUUGUUGAAAUCUGAUAUCCUCAUAAUAUACCCGCUGAUAGUUUGAUAUCAUCAAACGAAAAAAUCCUUGAUCUUUUAAACGAAAGUACAACAAGCAUGGAAAAAAAUCAUGGGAUGAUUGAAUUACGACUGCAAAAUGAAGCAAAAAAUUUAGUUUUUAAAGAAGUAAAAGAGGAAAAUAAAAUAUUGCUAAAAAACUUAGGUUUUAUCGAUGAUGUUAAUAUUCGUGAAUACAUUCGAUCUGAAAAAGAAAGAAUCGUACGAAAAAGGCGUCAAGAGCAACAACAACAAUCAUCUUCGGUUACACAAAAUUUGUUUGGGCAAUAUUUUGGAGAUUUGAGAGGUUCUGGAGUAAAUUUACCAGACUAUUAGUGUUGCUAUAAUAUUUAAACUCGAGUAAUAAUUAUGUCUUCAUGUGUCUUUUUAAUAAGUUUUUAUUAUGGUUUUUUGUAAUAUUCUUGUUGUUUAAUUCUAGUUUUAAAAUAUUAUAAAUCUUGUUUUAAAUUUUUUAAUUUAAUUUCAUCUGUAAAACUUAAAUUUAUAAAACAAAUUUGAAUAUUUAUGAGAUAUAAAAGUUUUAAGGAUUAAAACAAUAAACAAAAAAAUAUUUAAGAAUUAUAAAUAUGAUGUAUAAUUGUAAGGACCAAAAUGCAAAUAAAAAGAUGAAACUUCAAAUUUGAAGUUUUAAAAAGUGAAACUCUAUAUUUGGAGUUUUACUCUUCAAAACUUCAAAUUUAAAGUUUUGAAGUUUUUUUUGGAGAGCAAAAAACUCUAUAUUUGGAGUUCAAAAAACUCUAUAUUUGGAGUUAUAGAAUUUCUUUUGGAGAUGUUCUAACCGAUAAAGACGUUAGGUGAUAAAUAAAGUAGCCAAACGUGCCCAUAGUUGAUUAGUUGUCACUAAAUAUUACAUAAUGUUGAUGAUUAUGGUCCCUCAUAAUGGAAAAUGACCAAAAAUUAUUUUGGAAACAAACACUUCUAUAACAAUAUGUAAUUGUUAAAUUCAUAAAGUUAAGAGGGAGAAGAACCACUAAAGCUGCACCCUCUAAUUCACACCAGAGAAUGCUUAGAAGUCGUCUCCGAUGGAGUCUUUCUUUAACCCUUUUCCUCUGCCCACCGACAAAGUUGAACAAGUGGGGGCGUCAUGACUCUUCUCAAGUCCUCUUGUCACAUCAGCACCAACAUGAUCAUGACACGUAGUCUUUGCAUGUCUGAUUGGUCACAAAGUCAAUGCCCUCACUAGAUCGCAUGACAUCCUAACCUAAUCUCCAAGAAAUGAUCUCGACCGUUACUUCUCCACCAUUGCUGACCACUCACAAAGUUGAGUCAUCUAACAGCAGUUUUGAUUAGCUCAACCGUUGCUUAUCUCUUAAGAAACGAUCUCAACCGUUGUGUCUUUUUUCUUACAAAUGUCUCACCUAACCUAAUAAUGUAGUAUGUUUCAAAAAAAAAAAAAAACCUAAUAAUGUAGUAUAUUUGCCGUCUAACGAAAUUGAUUUUCCAUGGAGUUGUAUAUAUAUCUACUCCUCCUAAUAUAAUUUCCCACCAAUCUCCGAUCGCCUCAUGGCGACGGCAAGAUUACCCUCGUCUUUCUCCCCUCACAUUUUCUUCUCCAUUUUCAACGGACGACGUACCAACCUGUAUCCCUACGCACGGCCUAGAUAAACUCGUCACAUCUUGGGAGCCACAUGCCGCGGAGAAAGCGUACGAUUCGUCGAUCUCACCUCUCGUUUUCUAGCCGAGAUCAUCAACUCCGACAAAAUGAAGGUCCACGAGGAAUUGCACAUCAACACGAAUCAGGUUACAAUGCUGGAGCGUCGCACACCUCACCAUAUUUGAUGCGGCGGAACGGGAAAUUAUGGCGGUGAGUUCGCCGUCUUUCUUGGAAGAGCUGGCACAGUAGAUGGUGGGAAAUGCCGCGACCCUCAGGCAUCGUAGUUUGAUUCUUGGUGACGUGCUAUUCCUUCUAGACUUACAUCUUGUCGGAGUUUAUGAUCUCGGCUCGCAAACGAGGUGCGGGAUCGACGGUAAGUCGUGAGUUUCCGCCGCCGCUGACUCCAUGGAUGCCGCACACUUUUAUCUUUGCGAUUCCAAGGCGCGUGUCUUUUGUUACGGCUUUUUUUUUUUUUUAUGUUACGCCGCUGACUCCAUGGAUGCCGCACCCUUUUAUCUUUGCGAUUCCAAGGCGCGUGUCUUUUGUUACGGCUUUUUUUUUUUUUGUUAUGUUUUUGAAACGAUGUCACAAUGCACCACACUAAAAUCUACCAUACCUCGCAUCUUUUAAUUGUGAUUCCUAUUUGUUAAUUUCAAGAAGCAUCUACAAUCUUGAAUCUUUUAAUCUUUUUGAACUUUUCCUUCGUAUUAUUAACCAACAAGCAAUUUACCAAGUCCUCUCUUUAUUUACUUUAUGUUCUCUCUAGACCGAAGAAUUGUUUCUUCUCGAUCCCAAAUCACACGAUAUUUGACUUUCAAUCGGGACAUAAUCAUUCUUUCAAUAAAAUAACGUUCAAAUUGCGCUUAUAUAUGACCUAGAUAAUCUCAUAUACAUAAAUUUAAACAUUUGACAAGAUUUUUUGAAUAUAUUAAC